AUUCAUGCACGGUCUUGAAUCAUACUCUUCAUUUCCUAGAACGAGUUUUCUUAGGGAUCUGACCAGAGCAUCUGGAAACAAAAAGGUAAACUCAUAAUAAUUUUGUUUUCUUAUAAAAAAAAACAAACGAAAGGAAAGGAAUGACAUAAUCAAACCACCUUGAAUUUGGUUGCCUUCUUUCCUUGUGCUAGUUUCUUUACAUGCUUUCUUCCAAUUUUUAAUGUGUGAUUUAAUCCUUUCAACGAAUACAGAAUCAGCAACAGAAAGGGUAGAAGUGGAUUCUGUCACAUUCUUUGCAAGUAUUGGAUUCCCCAUCUGAAUUUUUGCAGUAGAUUCUUGUUCUCUGGACAAGUAUGAGAUACCUAUCAAAUCAGAAGAAUCACACAGAUUUUCAAAAACAAGCUCAAUACAUGGAGGCAGCAGACUCUACUCGACACUUGUCAUGCUCCUAAAAUGAUACUGGAAUACAUUCACUAUCUAUUUCAACAGGUAAAAAAAGAAAAAACCAAAUAUGGAUGAUUCUUACUUUGAUUAGGCUUAGACUUGAGAGUGGCCAGUUGUUAGUGCCAAAAAUAACUAUUAACUCAACCUUAUUCAAUGAUUUGAGUGAGAAAGCAUCUUAACCUUGGCUCACUUCUAUUUUCUUUAAUUUAAACAAUGUGACAUUCUAAAGGAUUUAGAAUAUAGAAGAAAGAAUUAGAAUCCAAAUUUGGAAAUUCUUAGAGUACACAUAUGAAGCAAUGCAACUUUAAGGGAAUACAUACCAUCCUUUAUGCAAGAAUUAAAGUCAAAACCUUGGCGAGCCAUAGAUAUCAAAGACGAGGUUUGACAAUAAAAACUGUAAGAAGGCAUUUCCAUCUUUAGUUCAGCUCUUGGGAACAAGUGAAAAUUAUAUCUGCGCCAAAAGCAAUAUCCAGUUUUAGUUCAUCAUCAAUUCUAGAUUUUAACAGAACAAAGAUUGGUUAAAGAUUGUUGUACUAACGGGUAGGCAGUGACUUUAGAAGCCCUGACAGUGAUGGGGCAAACAGCGAAAUGAAGAACCUGGAACCUUUCAGCGGCAUACUUGGCUUUUAAGUAAGCCGUGUCGGCGGUGUCAAAAGGGGAGACGCGUUGCCAAGGGGCGGAGAAGGAGCCGGUGUUUUGCAAGGACACGGCCACAAAAUCAGAAUUGGAGACAUGGGAUUUUAUAUCCUUAAGAGUGUCAGCAAAGUUUGAUUUUGUGACUUGCUUUAUGCUCCAUUGCUGGUGAGGUUUAUGGUGGGUUUUAGUCACGCUGGUGCUUAACAGGCGCCUUUGCAGCAGUGGGGAGACGGCAACCAUUUUUAUUUUUCCUUUUAUCCGGCGAACCAAGGGAACUAGGGAGCAGAGAGAGCAGGUAGAUCAAGAUGUGGGCUAAUUGCUUAUUGUUGAUGAAGUCGAAUAUGGGCCAUGGCCCAAUUUUUUCAUGGGCUAUUCUUCACCAGGCCGUGAAAGAUUGCAAGACUCUCUCUCUUUAUGUUAAAGACAAUAGAGGUGCCCCCUGGUGCUUGUUAGUUGGGGAUCAGCACAGGUUGGAUCCUCGUAUUGUUAGUAAUUUUUCAUGAGCGUGUCUGCGCGGAAAGUACGGUGGAAUUUAUUUUUUAAUAUUUUGUAUAUAUUAAAAUAAUAUAUUUUAAAAAAAAAUUAUUUUUGAUAUUAUUAUAUUAAAAUGAUAUGAAAAUAUUAAAAAAUAAUUAUUUGAAAUAAAUAAAAAAACUAAAAAAAAUUAAAUUUUUUAAAAAAUAUUUUUAAAAUACAAAAAUAAUCUAUCUUGAUAAUAUAUAUAUAGAUGGUGACUUUUUGUUCUAGACAAGGUUGUCGAAAACGCUUUUUUGACACGACACGGAACAUACAAUAUAAACUCGACUCGUAAACUCGAAUCAUAAAAUCGUAAAAUCGAAAGUAAAUUUUUUUAACUAAAAAUCGUAAAAUCACAAGUAAAAUAUUUUAACUGAAAUCGUAAAAUCGCAAAAUAAACAUCCAAACAUCUUAAAAUACAUAAUUCAAAUACAAGUAAAAUAAACAAUACAAAUAUCCAAAUAUCUUAAAAUACACAAUAUUCAUUCCUGUUCUUGAAGAAACCAUAGAUGAUGGGGAAACAGUCAGAAGAAAAUGUCUCUGUCUACAAAGUCAACAAAUAAAAACAAAAGAAAAUACGUAGAAAGUAUGGAAUCUCGGAUCUCACAAUAAAUCUACAGCAUGAGUUGAAUGUAAGAAUUGGAGUAGAGGUUGUUCGGAAAUUUGUUUCUCUCUAAGGUUAAAUUUAGCAGACACUUCCCAAUAUUCAUUCCUGUUCAGCUAAGUUUUUGAAAUUUGAAUAUCAAGAGAUUAAACACACUGCCUUCGACCUUUCUUUUUUGACAGAAAUUUUCUCCCACCUCUCAAUUAACAUCCUUCAUUGCAUAAUAACUGGACAAGAAUACAAUAUGUAAUUGCAUAUGCAAGCCCGAUAAAUAGUAUUAAUGCCCAACACAUAGAAUAGAAGUUGCCAAUCAUUGACUUUGUUCCAGCCAUAAAAGACAAGAACAUGAACUUACCAAUUCCAGAUUCAACCUGUAUUCAACAAGGUAAAAAUUGUACAAGCCAAAGUCUCAGCAAAGACAAAGAAGCCAGGCAAUGCUCUUAGCAUCAAUUGCCCUGCUGCCACCAAAUACAAUGCCAAUUUCCAAAGGAAUUGAAAUGUUUGUUUCCCAGUAUUUAAACUACAGAAGUAUGGCAGGUGACAACAUGUAAUCUAAUGAUUUACAAUUCAUAAAAAGGCAACAGAAGCACGGCAAAAGGCAUUCCAAUCCAAGACUGACCUAUCCAGUAAUACACAUUGAGAAUUAAAUGCAAAAUAUAAAAAACCUUAACACAUUGAAAACCAGCAAUCUUAGUUACAAGAAAUUACAACACACAAAAACAGCAAGCAAGAAAUUAAACAGAGCCCUCUCGUAUAAGAAAUUUGACAUGAACUGCCACACAUACACUCUUUUCUUUCAUUCACAUUUGAAAAUUUUCAUGCUUAUCAACAGAUGCAUGCAUUUCAUCAACACAUCUUGGACUCUCAAAUUUCAAUGAGAAUAUAAUAUUUCAAGGCCCUAUUAGCUAGUAAAACAAUGAACUUGACUGGAUAAAAACACAAACAGGAAAAAAGCUAGUGGUGGAAAAAGAAAACCAGAUCCAUGGAAGUGCCUUGGCAGUGAACUUACGAGGAGUUUCCACGUUCAUACAAGAAUGCAGCAGGCUUUUCUUGUGUCCCAGUACUGAAAAUAAAAUAAGGCAGUCCAAGAGUGCAAUCCUAGCUGGAAUGCUUCGUUGUCUAUGCAAAAUUGCAGAAUCUGCAACACCAAAGCAAGCAAGAUCAAACACAGAUUCAGAGCAGUGCAGCACAACUCCCCCUCCGAAAAAAUACCCAGCACUCCAGCAGCAAACCAAGUAAUAGUAGAAUACCCAGAAGAUAAACACAAAUUCACAGAAUACCUAGAUAAUUUUUGUCUAUAAUCACCACCAUUAGACAGAAAAAACAAAGCUUGGGAUUGGGAAUCAAUUCUUACCUUCGUCUCGCCAAGAACGCUCCGGAUCGGGGGAAUGUGAUUUUUUAAAUUGCUGGGGAAAGGGAAAAGGGGAAAGGGGAAAAGGAAAAGGAGUCGGGGAGACUGGGAGAGUGGGAGACGGGGACUUGGAAUUUGGAAAGAGAGUGGUCACUGGUGCUGCGGUGCAGUGGUGCUGAGUCAAAGGAGCAUUUGUAAUUUUGCAUUUCUAAUUGUCUGCAACUCUGGUUACUCUGCAUUUGUCAUUUGGUGAAACCGUGAAACGGUAGUGAAAGUGAAAGUUUUGGUUAACUCGUUAAAACGUUACGUUUUUUACGAGUCAACCCGUUUUUAUGCGAGUUUGACCGAGUCAACCUGAUUUUGCUGGUUUUCGAGUUUUAACCCCGAUUCUGCACGUUUUUUGUGUUUUAACUCGUAAAAUCGGAUGAUUUUACGAGUUAAAACGCAUUUUUAACAACCAUGGGUGGAAUCCUGGUCCAAGCCGAAAGUUCUAAAGUACUAGGCUCUGGCCCACAUCGUCACGGGACCAUCAACCCUGACUGCCCUCUAUAUUUUCAGUCUAGCCCCGUUGCUAGGUAGUUGACUAGGAGCGUGUUUGGCAGUGUGGUUGCGGGUGCUUUUCAAAUAGCUUUUCGUGCCGAAAUGCAUGUCAAUGAUGUUUUUUUAUUUUUUAAAAAUCAUUUUUGACAUCAGCACAUCAAAACGAUCCAAAAAGUACAAACCACACUCAAUUUUAGCAAAAAAAAAAAAUUCAAAUUUGGACGAAACGCAGGUGCAAACGCAAUACCAAACGCUCCCUAGAUGUUUAUCUUUAAUCCAGAGACCACCUUGAAAGGAUUUGGAUCAUCGGUUUAAUUCUUGACUAAGAUGAUAAUAUUUUUAUCUAUUUGUGUUGAACCGGUCAAUUUUAAUUAAAGUUCGAUUUAAUUAUAUGGAUCACUAAAAACUCGUUCAGCCUAAACUAAUCUAGUUAGAUUAAUAUAUUAUUUUAUUUAAUUAAAAAACUAACCCGAGUAAAGUUUUAUAUCGGUUCAUUAAAACAAAUGGAGUUUAGCAAUCAUGAUAGUUAAUCUCAUAGUUUCGAAACCCGGCCGGGCCCGGCGGGUCGACCCACGACCCGGGGCUGGAACGGGGCUGGGCUGAUGAAAAAAUAGGAUAAGCCAUGACCCGGUGUGACCUGGCAAAACCCGGUUGCAACCCGUUGACUUUUGUAUUUUUUUUUACUAAAACAACGCCGUUUUGAAUUUUUUUUAAAAUAGGGAUUGACCUGGCCGACCCGGUCAAAACCCGGUGACCGGGUCAAAACCCGGAACCCGGGCCUUGGACCGGGCCGGGUUUAAAAACUAUGGUUAAUCUACCUCUCUUUCCUAUUUUAUUUUUUUUUUCCUUUCCUUUUUCCCCUGGUCUGAGGUUAUGCUUGUUUCGUUGAAAUUUACAUAUAUAUAUUUGACUAAUUGCAUUAAUGGGAUUCAUUUAUAGUGAUUUUUCAACUGGAGAGAAGAUUCAAUACUUUGAAAUUAGGCUGGUUUCGUCCAUGGAAUCAUUUAUGGAUAGUUGUCCGAGGGGAAACGAAGACCCACACUCCUAUCUUAUCUCAUCAUCGUUUUAUUAUUUUUCCUCUUUGCAACCCACCCUCAUUAUUAAAGGAGGAUGCCUUUACCUGCAGGCAUCACCGCCCCAGAGAUUGAGAUAAGCACGCCAGUGCAUCACAAGAUUUUCAAAGAAAAAAACACGAGCAACGUUGAAUAAAAGAAAAUCGUGAACCACGCAUGGCUUGUCUUGAGCCGGUCUUUCCGAGGUCGACCUGGCAAAGACUCAUGGCAGGUGAGCUAAUUAGAUGAAACCCAACUUUUUUUAAAAAAAAAAACUCUAGAAAGAUUUUGUUUUUUUUUUUUAAAAAUCCGGGAUUUUUCGUUAACUUAAGAUGUUUUUUUCUUAAAAAAUCGAGUUUCUCCACCAAAUUAAUCCGACUGGUCCCGGCUAUCCGACCCUUCAAGCUGGACUGCAAAACAAUGGGUUUUUAGUUCUGAUACUCUUGAAAAUUUGACAGAAUUGGUGCCAUUCAAAUUUCUAAAUCCAUUUUUCAAAGGAAUGUAUUUAUGGAGACGCUGGCAAGCGUACUUUUUCUUUGUGGUAGUAAAGUUAUAUCAAUUUCGAACUUUAUUUUCCUCUACAAACGUAUCUCAAAGGAAUUAAAUUAGAGACAUAGAAAAAGCUAUGGUCUAUAGAUACAUCUCAGGCACCUUUUGGGUUAGGUGGAACAGUGAUUUUCCAAGAAUGUGAUGGCAAGUGGUAAAACAAAACAAAAACACAGACAGCGAGGUCAGAGUCUCGAGCAGGCAAAGAUCUUGAAACAGCCCGGUGAUCUACCUCUUCGAAGUAUGAUCUAGACUGAAUUUUAUUUAGCAAAAAUUCUGAAACAAUCCGGUGAUCUAGCUGUUCGAAGCACGAUCUAGACAAAAUUUUAUUUUGAAUUAUUCUCAAUGCUGACUUGAUUAGAAUUAGGUGAUAUAACAUGUCCAGUUCAAAGUUCAAACACAGUUAAAUUAAAACCAAUAAUUCCUUUUGUUUUGGCUUUGUUUGAGUAGAGUUUGGCAUGAAACAUUUGGGUUAUAAAUUACCUAAUUUUGACUGGAUUAAUGUUCAAAGCAAAUCCAAUUUGAUUCCACCAAACUAAUAGCAUGAAUCCUAAACAUAUUCAAACCGACUUUGACAACCAUGAACAAAAUGUUUAUUAAGGUUUUGUUUGUUUAUGUUGUCCUGUUUGUAUUUUGUUUUAAUUAUAAAUUUAAAAAUAUUUAAUUAAUUAAUACUCAAAUAAUUUUACAUAAAUCUCUUUAAUUAUUUUUUAAUCUUGAAUAAAAAUAACUACAAUUUAUAUAUUUUUUAAAAAAUUUAUAUUUUUAAAUUAUAAUCGUAAAAGUUAAUACAAUACUAAACACAAAAAAAAAAUUAAUUAAAAAUAUAUCAAAAUAAUCAAUUUAGAUUUUAUUUUUUAGAUAAAUAUAUUAAAAUCAUCUGAAAUAAUCUUAAAAAUAUUUAUCUGAUAUUUGUUUUAAAAAAAUAAUUAAAAAUCACUUGUAAAAGGCAAACAUGCCGAGUCACCAUGGGUCCAGUUGGUUGAUUGUGCACUUUUUAGACACCCAGCAUAGUGUUAGCCUAUUUGGGACCCACAUCACCGUAUAAACUUAGCCAAAAAGCAAAAUAAAGAUGCAGAAUAUGCUUUGCUCUUCCCUGCAAAUAUCCUUUCCCUCUCCUUCUCUUCUGUUUCGAUCCCUUUAUUACUUCUGUCUUCUCCACUUCCCCCAUCGAAAACAAAAGACCUUCCCCUUCUCGCUGCUUCUUCUCUUUGCUUUGAUAAAAAAAGAUGGAGCUUGUUAAAGAACUGUUUGUGACUGGUGUUAUUGCUGUUCUGUUCUCCUUUCUCAUAGCCAAACUUGUUUCUAUGGCCAUGUCCAGUGGUGAUUCUAGCCACCACGAAGAUUCUCAAACUCAAAAUGUUGAUCGAGAAGCUUUUUCUGCAGCAGAGAUUGUCGGUGAAGAAGAAGAAAAGGGGAUGAUGGAGGAGUUACGGUAUCGUGAAAGAUUGGAAGUUGAGGGGCUUAAGAGCGAAAUGAGAACGGAGUUUGUUGAACAAGUAACAGAAAAGGUCUAUGAAUUUGUUACAGGAAUUUCUUCUGUCGAGCACGCUAAAGAUUCAGCAACUCGUGACGAGAUACUACUUGAAAGUGAAACUGAGGUUCAAGAAUUGAUCGAGGCAAUUUUAAAAGAAGAGGAGGAAGAAGACAAGCUAAAAGAAGGUGACUUUUACGAUGAAGACGUCAAGCAAGUAAACCUGGUUAGUUCUAAUAGAGAAAACAGAGAAGAGGAACCGAUUGGCGUUGAAUUAAACGUUGUCGAGGAGAUUGGGGUUGCUGGGAGUGAUUCAAAAGAGAGGAUUGAAGAAAUUGAAGUUAACGAGGUCGAGGAUGAUGAUGAUUGGGAAGGGAUAGAAAGGAGUGAAUUGGAGAAAAUAUUUGGAGAAGCAGCGAAGUUUGUUGAGGAGUCAGGAAACAAAGAUGAGAGAUUGGCAAGUGUAGGGAGCGAUUUGCAGAUGGAGUUGUAUGGACUUCAUAAGAUUGCUACUGAGGGGCCUUGCAGGGAGCAGCCUCCCAUGGCUCUCAAAGUUUCUGCUCGUGCUAAGUGGUAUUAAAUUUUGCUAAAUUAACAUAAUGUCUCUGCUUUUCUCUUUUUUUUCUCUGUAUUCUGUAUUCUGUUCUCUUAUUGUUUGCUAAAUUGUCGAAUGAGAGCAGAUAAACGUUUUCCAUUAGGGGUUUUAAGUUUGUCAGAGGAUAGGAUAAGAUAGUCUUGGGUGAGAGAAUAUGGUUUAGUGAUGCACAAAGUGAAGAUUCACGGCAUGUGGAUCAAGAAUUAAUGGAUGUCAAACAAGGUUAGAGUCUUUUAUUUAGAAAAGAAAAGGAAAAAGAAAAUCAGAAUACGAACACAUGGAAAUCGUUAGAAAUCCACGUCUGGACAGGUAGUACUACUAUAAAUGAUGUUUAUAUGGCCAUUUUGUCUGUUUCCCGCCAUGCUUAGAUCUACCAUAGUACUUUCUUGUAGAAAAAAACCCCAAUGAUCCUAUUGUCUUUAUUUGGAAACUUAGAGGUGUUGCUUUUGCCGCUCCAACCUUUUCACGAUUGGUUUGGUCGAAGUCCUUUUCCUUUUCCUCCACCCUAGAUUUUUUACUGGUAUUGAUUCAAUUGUUUGGAAAUAGCCAAAAAGCCAGAAAGCUUAUCAAACAAAUUACAAGAUAACGGCAGCCAUCAGCCAUAAUCUUGUGCUAGAGGGAUUGUACACCUAAGAAAAAGAAAAUGAAAGCACAGAACAACACCUUAGGGGCUGCCUAUACCAAAAAAUUGCACGGUAUAGUUUGAUAGUUAGUUACAAUAACAGGGUUGACAGCUGCUAUGUGUGAGUGAUCGAGGGCACUGGUUACAAUGUGCAAGGAAUGCUUGGCAAAGGCUGGGAAACAUGAGUCCAGAGGCGGCUAUGGAGCAGUAUAUUGCCCUUGUAUUGGAGAGAGCACCAGGGUGGAUGGAAGAAAAACCUAGUGUAGGUAUUUUCCACUGCAGCGUAGAGCACUUGUGUUUCCUGUAAUGACUUUGAACAAUCUCUGGUUAAUUUCGUUUUACAGGGAGACAAUAAACCAGGAUCAUCUGAAGUGGAAAAUCUUGUUGCUGUGACUCCAGAUUUAAGUACAUUACCAUCCCGUCAACCAAAUUUUACAGAUGAAAUGUAUGUCCUGAAUGUUUGGCUAUUUCCCCCUUCAAUCCUUUAUUUUUUAGUCUCGUUUCUGUCUUUUCAUUAGCUUAUUAUUAUGUUAUGAUACUAUCACUAUUCUCAUAUGUAGGACAUGUAGGAAUCCAGAACCGAAGCCUGUUGCUGAAGAAGGCGAUCCGACAGGGGGCUCAAACCUGGAUAGCAGGUUACAAAUUGUUAAUUCAUGCAUAUUUCUUUCUCUUCCAUAUGCCUUAUUCUCCUAAGCUGUUGCAGGAACUUGAGGGUUCCUGAAAAGGUUUGAAUAGAAAGUUGUUAGUUUCAUAGGACAAUAUGAUUAAUGUAGUUUCCAUGCUUUGCACAGCAGAAAGGUAGAAAAUAUUUUACAGAAAUCUUUAUUUGAUGUCAUUUAUCAGUAGUCUGAUUUAUAAGGUUUAUCUAUAACCAGCACUUGGAAAACAAGCACCAGCGUUAUAGUAACAACUAAAAUUUCCCCUGGGUAGCUCAGGUGGUAGGGUAUGGGAGUUUGAGUUGAGAUCUUAGGUUUUUGACUUAAAGUUCUCCACCAAAACAAAAAAAAAGGCCGGUGGUUUCUGUCUAUUUUGAAUAAUCCUUAAUUACCUCUUGGAAUGUUGUAGAGGGUGUUUUCCUCAAAUGAGGCUGGGAAGAAAUCCCUUUUCAAGAAAAUCAGAUCCCUUUAAAGAAUAGUUUUUUAUUGUUGAAAAAGAAACCACAGGCAUCACGCUAUAAAUGUAAGAAAAUUUUAAGGAAAAUGGGUGGAUGAUCAUCAUUUCUUGCACCACCACAUUCUUAUGUGAAAAGUUUAUUGAUUCUGCCACUUAUUUCAAUGAAGAUUCUUAUUUACCUGUCAUCUGUAACUAGACAAUCACCAGUGACAAUCUAUGAGGAAUCUGCCAUCCAGGACUUGGGUCAUAUUCCCGAGCACUGCUCUAGUGAAUUUUCAUGUAGUCUCGCUACUCAUUUCUUUCUUAUGGAAGGGUCAUGCUUGCAAUGAUUUCAAUAUGCAAGCCAAUUAGGGCUGCACAUAACCUAUUUAACAUGAAAUUUUUCAGGCCAAAGAAUGACAAGCAUUGCCCUGCUGCUUGAGAUAACCAUGGAGCCCUUCUCCUUUGGCUUGACCACAAACAAGACUGAUUACUGUUGCCAAGUAUAAUCUGUUUCAAGUAUGUAAGGUUCUUGCCUGUUUAUACUAUCAUUUAUUUGUCCCUAGAAGUGAACUAUGCAUUGUGUGAUACUAGUAACAUUUAUGCGUUGUGCAUUGAUGCAUUUGUAUAUAUACCCUGCUGGCUGGAAUCAUUGAAUUAUAAUAUGAUGUUUAUGCACCAUUCUUUCCGAGGCAUGGUUAAGACUCGAUGCUUAUGCCAGUCUUUGUGGUCCUUUGUUUGACUCUUUAUUCUAAUCCAUGAGAAUAUAUGAAGCGAUGUUGGCAUUACGUGAAAGGAAUGUGCUAAGAGUUUUGCACUAAUUAUGCUAUUUUUGCCAAAUACUUAUCGAGAAUAAAUUCACAUGCAAUUGAAGUGCUCCUCACGUUUGGAAUUGUUGAGAGGGAAAGUAGUUGUCUAUAGUCUCUCUAUUUCUUUUGGUAAGAACUCUCCUGUUUCUUCCCUAGCAGUAAACUCCAAUAAUAUGGGGCAUCCCUUGAUGUUGAUUGGGAUUUAGAUGAGACAGGGUGGAUAUCAUUCACUUGGAGUUUAGACAUGGUCAACCGAGGUAAGGGCAUUUUUUGGGUGUACAGCCCUUAUAAGUAUAGAAGUAUGGAUCCGUAAAACAAUUUGCAAGCAUUUCAUGGUUGCUGGCAUGGCAAGUUACACGACCAAGGCCAUUUGGGUCCACCAGAAUUGUUCCAAGGGCUCUCAGAUUUUAAUUUUCCGUGUUGGAAGUGCAUAAAUAAGUUAGAUUUCGUUUCAAUUGUUAGGGACGGCUUCCAUAUUUACUGUUUUAUCGCAUUUAUUUGUGGUGGCAAUGGAUGACCCUAGCACUGGAUACUGAUAACGAUUGCUAUUUAUUAGAGCAUGCUGCUAAACAUUGACAAACUCACUAAGAUAGAGAAUGCAUAAAAAGCUACUAUGGAGGUUUCAUCCUUAUCCUCUGCUUAAAGACACUAGGGAAAUUAGUAAUUCUUCAUUGGUGAAACAUAGGGGUUCUCGUCGCCAUAUCAAGAUCGGUUUUCUGACCCAGAUCCUGUGAUAUGGACAUUGUUGUGAUCAUAUCCCCCGCCUCCACCACCACCUAUGCCUCCACCAUAACCCGAGCCAUACCCAUUUCCUCCACCAUUACCACUCGAACCAGACCCACCUCCAAAGCCGCCACCCCAGCCGCCACCAAACCCGCCACCUUGGCCCAUACCAUUCCCAUUCCCAUUCCCAUUCCCACCGCCACCGCCACCGCCACCUCCACUGCCGUAGCCCCCGCCACUGCCACUGCCGUAGCCCCCACCUCCACUACCCGGUCCAUAGCCCUUAUCACUACCAUCGCCUCGUCCACCCCCUUGUCCAUAACCACUGCCUGAACCUGCACCGUAACCACCAGAAGACACCCGAUAUCCAGCCUUCACUCCGAGUACACGUUUCACCUCAUGGUCCAUAAAACUUCUGCCCCUCAAUAAUCUCCCUUCUUUCUUUGCUUCAGCGAGCACAUAACUACAAAGGCCGAGUCCUAAGAGGAUGAGAAGCCAAGACACCACAUGUUGUCUCUCCAUACCUCCUGUCACUCAAAAAUCAACUGCACCUUGACAAAGAACCAACCUUGCUCUUAGAAAAACAACACGGAUGAGGAAGACAGAAAAGAAUAAAAAAAAGAAGAUGAAAAUCUGGUACAGUGUCUACUGUCUAGUAGCCUCUCUCUUAUUGCAAGCUCACUGGUAAUAGUCUGAGUAUUUGUUGGUAGUGGUAGUGGCCUGAAGGCUAAAGCUAUAUAUAGAAAUUUUACCUUUAGCUUCUAGGAGCUAUGAAGCAGGUUCAAGGGGUGGGCAUCCCUGCAGAUUGUGCCUGAUUGGGUGACGCGUGCCAGCUUAAUCUGGUGAUGGGAGCUAUAUGCAUGAGCACAAGGGUACUGCAAUGCGGUUUUGGCGUGUGAGUUUUGGGUGUCAUGGACAUGGAAGUUAGUUUCUGGGCUAUAGGCCUUAGCUUGCGAUUACGGCCUUGUUGGUGAGGCCAGAGUCGAAUUUCAAGUGGCCACACAGGCUAAAUAAAUUUACGUGAAAGUGUCCUUCGUGUUCAAGACUUCUUCGAGUUAAAGAUCAAAGAAUGUGCUCUCUGGCGCUUCAAACAAGAAUACGAUUCCAGCAGGAGGAAAAUGAAAAAUAUUUUUCUUUCAAAGUAAAAUUUAGCUCAAUUUUUAUAAAAGUAUUUUUUUUAUUUUAGAUUGAAAAUACUUUUUAAAAGUUGUGAAAAAUUCAGAAAUAUCAUGUUAUUUACUAAUUAUAUCAAUUUUGAUCAUCAAACUUUUGAUUGCUAUAUAUUUUGUUUUAAUUUUUUUUUUCAAUUUCACCCCUUAGAAUCUGAUUUAAUUUGAUUUUUAUAUCAACUUUGAUCCUUAUUUUUAUGAUUAUUAUUUGCUUUUUUCUUGUUAUUUUUUUCAUUAAAAUUUUGUAUCUAUUAGAUUUGAUCCUCCUUCUUUUGUUUGUUAUUUAUUUUAUUUAAAAUAAUUUAUGAUAUUAUAUUUUUUUUAUUGCAUCAUCUUUCAAUUUUUUUUAUCUAUUAGGUUUGAUCUCUAUUAUUUUAAUUAUUAUUUAUUUUAUUUGAGAUAAUUUAUAAAAUUAAUUUUUAUCUUCAAUUUUAUUCUCAUUCAACUUCUAAAUUUUUAGAUUUAUUUCUCAUUAUUUUAAUAAACUUGAAAAAAAUAUUAAUAAGUUAUUUUCCAGCUCAUUUUGAAUGAUAUAGUCAAAUACUGAAAAUUAUUUUCUGAUUUAUUUUUUAUAACAUUACUAAACAUAAAAAAAUAACUCACUUCCAAUAAAUUUAUUUUUUUAAAAAAACUACUAUUAAUAAAUGAAUGGGGCCUAAUAAUUGUUGCACCAAAUAGGCUGGCUGUCGAUGGAAAAAGACUUUGCUUGUGAAUUAGAAGUUGGGGCGUAUGCAGAAGAGUGAUCAUGGGCCCUUCUAGUAUUAGGUAACCAAGAUUUCAUCUUUCGAUCCUACAAUCAAACCCAUAUUAAAGACAACGAAUAAUUCUUUCUGCUCGGAUCAUUACAUGGGUUCCACGAGAAUCUCAAGGACUGUCUGACGGCCCAUGAUUUCUGUUUGUUUUAACCAUGAUUAUUGAACUUGAUGUGUGUUUAUUCAAGGAAUCUAUUACUUGAAUGAAACCCGAUCUUAUUUGGAUUUUAAAUUAAAUUAAUUUUUUUUUUGGUAAAACCCAGUUGAUUUGAAUAGGUUUUUAGUAAUUUUAUCAAACUUGGUCUAAACCGUAAUAAUGAAUUUAUGUUUUUUUUAAUAAAACAAAGUUGUUUUAAUAAAAAUAAUUAAUUCAAUAAUCUAUAAAUUAUAAAUUGAUAUGAUAAUUCAAUAUCACAAAUUCUUUUCUGGGUCAGUUUUUAGACUUGACACAACUGUAUUUUCAGUUAAUUUAUGUAAAAACAAAAUUAUCAUUUAUUUCAUAACGAUGUUUUCGGUUUUAAAUAGUAUUUCAUGAAAAAACAAUUUACUUAAUUAUAUAUAUAUAUACAAAUUAAUUUGAGAUGCUGAUGUGAAAAUUAAAUUUUAAAAAUAAAAUAUAUAUAUUUUUAAUAUAUUUUUAAAUAAAUAAAAUUUAAAAAGCAACUUACAAAUACUCUCUUAGUUUAUUACAGUUUUGUCUUUGUUUCACGUGUCAGCAUUUAAUAAGAUAGCCAAUUCUUUCAACGAUGAGCUCCAGUGCAUUGAUGGGAUUUUUGCAAUAAUGUCUUUUAACAUCAAGGAAAAAAUUGAUUUAAUAAAAAUAUUUUUAAUUAUAUUUUUUGAAAAAAAUAUGUUUUUAUUAAAAUUAAUAAGAAAUAAUUUUUUACAUGUAAAAUAAAUAAAAAACAUAUUAUUUUAAUUUUUAUAAAGCAAGAUUUGUAAUACAAUUAUAUCUAAAAUCCAAUACAUCAAAUAAAAUCCUUGCCUUUAAGUUUUAGCCAUAUGGUAUGGAAAUAUUUUUCCUUCAUUGCACAUUGUAUUCAUAACUUUCAGUCUAGAGAUAACCAAUUAAAAAUUAUACCCGUCUUGAUAGAGCUCUACACUAGUCUAUUUGAAUGAAAACACGAAAUUACAUAUAAAAAAAAGUUGAGAUUUUUUUAAAAUAUAUUUUUAUUAAUAAAUAUAUUGAAAUAAUUUUUUUAGUUUUUAAAUUUUAUUUUACACACCGAUACAUUAAAACGAUUUAGAAAUACUAAAUCAAUAUUUUAAAAAAAUAAAAUAAAGCUAGAACUAAAAAAACAAAGAUAACAAGAACAAUAUUGUAUCAAUGUUUUCACACUAGCUCGAGUUGGGUCAGAUGCAAAACAACGACUUGUCAUAAUUAAUGAUUGUUGACUGUUCGUGAAUAGAACCCUACCCUCUGUAUAAUUGCAGGGGGAGGUUUUUAACUUUAGCCUAUGAAAAACUUGAAUGGCUGUGAGUAUAGUAAUCAGAGAAGAAGGACCGCUGAGAAUUGCGAGCAUUCAAGAGAGAAACGACUCCUUGCUGACUGCUCUCUCAAUUAUUUGGACUGUCGAUAUGCAUGGGACAGUGACAUGGUAGCAACUCUGGGAAGAUUCUGAAAACAUUUGCUGUGGUCGAUCGCUUUAUUUCCAAGUCUGCAACAGUGAACCUCAAUCAAUGCCUAAUGCGGCCGGCUUCCUUUCAAAUCUGCUCCUAACAAUCAGCGACUUUACGCGUGCUUUUUUAACCAGAGAAACCCCGGGUUGAUUGGAAAACAUGAGAUUAGAAUCUUACUGUAGCUAAGUUUUAAGUCACAUUCUCUCACUCGGCAAACUCGAUUUACUCGACUAGGUUAGCGCAUGCAAAACUAGGCAUGAUUUGUUUAGGCCAACACUAUUUCAUUUUAAAAAAUAAACUGAAACAAUGUUAUUUUAAGCAAAAAUAUAGAUUUGGGUUAUAUCAGAGGGAUCCUCCAAUAAUCUAAAGCGUUAUUGAAGUCGAUAAUUUAAAGUGAUUGGAGGAAAAAACCAAGAACUUUGAGUCAGUACUUAUCAACCUUCUUGGCAAUAAUUGACGAUUAAAAAAAAUUGCAUUUCUCGUCACUGUCCAAAUGCAGAGACAUGCAUGGUUCAUAACCUAAGUUAUUUUGGCACUGAGGAAAUAAUUUGAUCAGGAAAAUAAAAUGCAAUGCACGGUCAAAUCUCAGCAUAAUUAUAUAUUUUAAGUAAAAAUAUAAAUAAGUGAUUCUUAAAUUAACUUAAGAAUUCAAUAAUUUAAACUUUUACGGGUUAAAUUCUAAGCUAAAUUUGAUUUCAUGUUGAAUUUAAUAAUAACAAGUGAUUUCACUUUUUGUUAAAAAAAUAAAUAAAAUAUUUUUAUUUCGAUAAUUUAAAGUGAUUGGAAGAAAAAACCAAUAACUACAAGUCAGUACUUAUCAAUCUUCUUGGCAAUAAUUUAUGAUUAAAAAAAUAGUAUUUUUUUAUUAAUACGAGGAUAGCUUAAUUGAUCAGAUUUUAGAUUUGUAUUUUAAUGAUUACGAGUUUGAAUUCUCUCAGGGUCAUUAAAAAUUAUAUUGUUAUUAAUUUUAAAACUCGUAAGAUUAAUCGAGAUGCACAAAAACUAACCCAAAUACUCAUAUUGAUAAUAAUAAUAAUAAUAAUAAAAAUACACUGCCAUAUCAUAGCAUAAUCUUGUAUGGAGUGCAAGAAAAUCAGCGCACACAGCAGCCGUAGGAGUGGAGUAAAAGGGGGGCCUGGUACUGAAAAAAUAAAUAAAUCUUGGUAAUUUCUCUUUAAAUAAUUUAAAAUUUUAGGGUUAAAAUUAUUAAAAUUUAAAUUUUGGCCCUCUUAUUUUUGUUUUCUAAUCUAAACCUCAUAUAAAAAUUUCCUGGGUACGCCCAUAUUAAUUAUUAUUGUUAAUUUUCGGUCAAGGAUUGAUGGUUCUUGUGAUGAGUUUUCACGUUUUGGAAUUAAAUUUAUCUCUCUAUUAUAAUCUAAAGCAAACCAUCAAAAAAUUCACAAAAUUUCUUACUAGUUAUUGUGGGAUUCGAUAUAUAUAUAUAUAUAUAUAUAUAUAUAUAUAUAUAUAUAUAUAUAUAUAUAUAUAUAUAUAACCCGGGAUGUUUGGAUCAGUUUACGCACACCACGACUAAUCUCCGGGCCCACUAAACACUGUGCAAGCCUAGUGGGCAAGUAAGGCACCGCGGGGAUGAUAGACAUGCAUAGAGAAGAUCGAACCCGGAUGCAGAGGAAGGGAACAAGUCCCUUCCCCCACUAGACCACGACCUCAAGUGCGGAUUCGAUAUUUGAUAGAGAAAGAGAUGGUAUUUAUAUUUGUCAAACCCCGUUUCAAAAACAACUUGAAAAAGAAUCUGAGUUACCGAUCAUCACAUUAAUCUCUAAUCAUCAAUUUUUUUAUUAAAACGAUAACAAUUUAUUUUUCUAGAGAAAUUAACUUUGUCAGACUUGAACGGGUUAAUCGAAUCACUAAAACUCAUUCAAGUUAAAUUGGUUUAAUCAAAGUCAAAAUUCUACUUCAUUCAACUACAAACUCGACCUAAAUAAAACUUUUGAAUUAUAAAUUACUUGCAUCAACUCGGGCCAGAUAUAGGCAGCAUUUGGAAACAUGGCCAACUCGUGUUUUUAAAAAAUUAAAAUUUUUUUGCUAAAAAUUAAUAUUUUUUUAUGUUUUAGAUCAUUUUAAUACGCUGAUCUCAAAAAUGAAUUUUAAAAAAUAAAAAAAUAUUAUUUUGAUACAUUUUGACAUAAAAAACAUUUUGAAAAACAACCGCAACCACACUUCUAAACAGAUAAAUAAUACGACAUCUAUCAUGGUCAUGUAAUGAAAUAAAGAAAGUUGUAAUUUGAGGAGUGCCAAAUUGAUAAAACUCGUAUACAGAAUCGUAGAUAUGGAGGAAGGAACAAGCACUUGCUACCAUUGCCAUCCUUUUGUCCAUGGAAAUCUAGAUUCCAAACGAUCAUAAUCCAUACCCCACACUGCAAGGGGAUUUGUACUAGGACAGGGAUCUUAAUUAAGUUAGAGCCAGACAGCUCUUCAAAGAUUAUCAAACCACAGCCAACCAUUGUUUCUUUCCAUCCUUAAUUUCUUUUUUUCAUACCUUUUGUUUAAAGUGUUUGCCGACUAGACUGUUGAUAACUGAAAUUGAUGAGAUACCAGCACGAAAAGGAAGUUUCAGCAUGAAAAAAGGUCCAAUUUUCACAUUGUUUUCACAUAUUAACUACUCGAUCACGACACUGACUCCAUCAAAACCCAAAAACUGAAGGGAAAUGACUGGGUUUAUCUAUGUUAAUCACAUUCUUUAUGAUAAAAGUGUGAGAUACAAAUACUCUGUAGCAAAAUAUACUGCUAGAACAUCUGCAGCUACAUAUAUCUGUUGACAGUCACUAUAUUUACCGGAGGCAUUAAUCCUUAGUCGGGAUAAGUUUUAGAUUAUGUGCUAGUUGAGUUAAUUCUUAUUAAUUUUUUUUUUUAAAUAUUAUAAUAACACGUUUUGAUUAUUUAAAAAAAAAUAUAUAAUAAAUUAACUCGAAUUCUUAAUCCGAUUAUAUUGAAUCAACCCUGUUAAUUUUAAAACCCAGCCUAAAUGAACAGGAUUCUGAUUCGACAUGGGUGCCAGUCCGUUUCUCCACAGCUAAUCCGCAUUUAAGCAUGAAUCAAACAAAAGGCAGACUAACAAGUUAGGAUGAUUGAUGGAUAAGCGUGUAAUUAUUUACAUGUAGAAACUGUUCCUAGUUCUGAAACAAUCAAGCAAUUAUUAGUGCUGGUGGUGGUCCAUUCCAGCUUGUUGUCAAGAAAAAUAUGGCUGGAAGAUUGGGAGGAACACCCAUUUGGAUCUCUGCUGUGAUUAAACACUACAACGAUUCAAUUGUCUAAUCAAAGAAAAGGCUAUUUUUUCUUAGGGCCUUUAAUCACUUUCUGAUAAUUGCACAACAUUACCUAAUGUUCUUGGCUUUUCUUUUUUCUUUAAAGUAUUCUCGUAUAGUACUCGUUUCUCCACCAUCCAUUACUCAAUCUAGAUGCCCCAAAAUCUGACCUGUGACUAGGCAUCCACCCAUCACAGGUAUUGAUAAUUGACCAUCAACACAGUUGUUAGAGGGAUACUGGUUAAAUUUUGUUGGAUUCGACAUGUUCAUCUAGAAAAUCUGGAAUUAAAGCACUGAUUCGGAUUUGAUUUUUUUAGUUGAAUUGAACGGUAAAAUUCUUGAUUUUUAGUAAUUCAGUCCAAGUUCAAAUCCCGAUGAGUCAAUAUUAAAAAAAAAAGUAGUACUUUUCAGUUUAGUUUCCUAAUUGGAUGUAAAAACUAUGAUUAAAGGGCACGACUUCAAUCUUUCUGGAUAUAAUUGAGAUGAACAAUUAGUGGUAUUUCCACUAAACCUAAGCAGAUUAUUAUCUUCUGCAAGUGAAGUGAUGUGUGGGGUAAAAACAGAUCACAUAUUUUAUCAUAUCUUUUUCACCUAAACCAGAUGGGGAUAACAUAUAUUAUUGAUAACCAAAAAUUGCAAUCACAGAAAUAAUUGCCGAAGCUCUCUGAUGAUUGGCGUUCUUCGUAGCCAAGCAAAAAUCUUCGCCUAGUAAAACACACUUCGAUUGUCCUGUAUGAAAACUUUAUUUUCCCAAUAAAGUUGUGGAAGUGCAUGCAGCUAUAUUAUUAUUACGUUAAAGGAACGCAGGAUUCCAUGAUUUCUGACAAAUUUGAAAGCAUCAGGGAUUCCCAAGAGCACUUGUUCUUAUGCAUGAUGACCUGUAAAGUUUAGAAACAAUGACAGAUUGAACGAAUCCCUGCCCACCACUAAGGUCCAUCUCAUUUAUCCUCUUGAGUGGGAUUGUUCAGAUAGAACCUGCAAAUCAUGUGGCCAAACUGCUUGCGGAGAAUUAAGACAUGGAUGUAUACCUGCAUCCGUCUACAAAACAUUUGGCUGCAAGAAUUAAGUGCUUAUUAAUAUCAUUGAUCGGGCACUUUCUCAAGUGUCUUUGAGAGAAAUCCAAAGACAUUGGACUUGAAAUGCUAGCAAACGCCUCGGAAUCUUGAAUGUUACACGAAAUUUCGUAAUCCUUCUUCGACAUCCCACCCUUUUGAAUUGGAAGUUCGGCGUCCCAUGCAACACCUUUUUUGGCAAAAUACAUCACCUCUAGAGCUCUCCUUUUAACACAGAUAAAUAUGCCGGCCAUUAACUAGAAUGAGAUUCGGGAAUCCAGAUAAUGAUGCCACGUAAGAAAAUAAUUGAACUGGUCGACCCGGUAACUCAUGGAUAUAGAAUAUGGCCCGGCCAGGUUCGAACCGGUUUGAUUGGUUGAUACAACCAAGUCAAAUUUAAUGAAUUUUUUUUAUCCUGAAAUGAUCUAAUUAAAACCUGCUAUAAAAGCCUUCUAAGUCAGGUUAAGCCCGGACCCGUUUCGAUAACUAUGCCUUUUAUCGGCCAUCAUCGUGCAUGCCUACUUUAAUGCUUUUACUCGAGCAUUGAUCCUCAAACUUGAUUGGUUUCUAGAUAAAACAAAACUAGAGUAUACUACAGUAGUGCCAUUUGAAGAGAUUCCAGAGGUUAAAUAAUUAGUUAUAAAACACUGCUAAUUUUGAUCAGCUUCAUAACCUCCUCUGCAUAGCUCCGAAUCUUUUUCAGAGUUCUAAACAAUAAUUCAUUUGAGUCAAACCGGUUGUCAUCAUGCUAUAUAUAUAAACCUCAUGGAGACCUACCUUGGAGCCAAGAGAAUCUUUCCCUGUCCUAUGCAAACCUCACUUUCUAUUCUCCUUGCACUUUAAAAAAAGAACAGUCGUCAGAAGUAGAACACUAUACUGCCUGAAUUCUCCAACAUGAAGAUGGAAAGACAGGUCAUGAGGGUGAAAGACUUGAACCUCGGGCUUCAACUGAUAGCCACACUUCUGGUUCUGUGCUGCUGUUACACACACGCGGUAGCAGAAGAGAAGAGCCAGCAGACGAAGAAGACUUUCAUAGUUCACAUGGACAUGUCCAAGAUGGCAGCAACUUACGAAGAUCAUUUUCAAUGGUACGAUUCAUCUUUAAAAUCUGUAUCAGAAUCUGCUGACAUGCUUUACGCUUACAACAACAUAAUCCAUGGGUUUUCCACCCGACUCACACCAGAGGAAGCUGAAUUACUUGAAAAACAACCCGGAAUUCUAGCGGUCCUACCUGAAAUGAUUUACAAGCUGCACACAACUCAUUCCCCUGAGUUCCUUGGAUUGGGGAAAAGCGAUGCUGUGCCCCCUGCGUCUGCCUCCAUGAGCGAGGUGAUCGUUGGAGUACUAGACACUGGUGUCUGGCCAGAGAUAAAAAGCUUUGAUGACACAGGGCUUGGCCCCAUACCAAGUACCUGGAAAGGUACUUGCGCGGUGGGUAAGAACUUCAAUUCAUCGAGCUGUAACCGGAAACUGAUAGGUGCACAAUAUUUCUCAAAAGGCUAUGAAGCAGCAUUUGGACCUAUCGAUGAGACAAUGGAAUCGAAGUCACCAAGAGAUGAUGAUGGCCAUGGAACUCACACAGCAACUACAGCAGCUGGGUCAGCUGUCUCAGGAGCUAGCCUUUUUGGGUAUGCUUUUGGGACAGCGCGUGGAAUGGCUACACAAGCUCGAGUAGCAGCUUACAAGGUGUGUUGGUUGGGUGGAUGUUUUAGCUCUGAUAUUUUAGCAGCAAUGGAAAAGGCUGUUGCAGAUGGCGUUAAUGUCAUUUCAAUGUCCAUUGGAGGAGGAAUCUCAGAUUACAAUCGAGAUACAGUAGCGAUUGGAGCUUUCAGGGCAGUUGCACAGGGAAUUCUUGUCUCAUGCUCGGCCGGAAAUGGUGGGCCCAGCCCAGGCAGCUUGACUAAUGUUGCUCCCUGGAUAACCACUGUAGGUGCUGGAACGUUGGACCGUGAUUUCCCAGCUUAUGUGAGCCUUGGAAAUGGAAAGAACUACUCAGGCAUAUCACUUUAUAGUGGAAAGCCAUUAUCUGAUUCAUUGUUGCCACUUGUUUAUGCUGGUAAUGUGAGCAAUUCAACAAGCGGCAACCUUUGCAUGACAGGAACUUUGGUUCCUUCACAAGUUGCAGGAAAAAUUGUGAUAUGUGAUCGAGGGUUGAAUAGUAGGGUUCAAAAGGGCAUGGUGGUGAGAGAUUCCGGUGGUCUAGGGAUGAUUUUAGCAAACACAGAGCUGUAUGGAGAAGAGCUAGUCGCUGAUGCACAUCUUCUACCCACAUCCACUGUAGGGCAAAGAACUGCCGAUGCAAUUAAGAAUUAUGCCUUCUCUGAUCCAAAGCCAAUGGCCACGAUUGCUUCUGGAGGCACAAAGCUUGGAGUUGAGCCAUCGCCAGUGUUAGCAGCAUUCAGUUCCAGAGGUCCAAAUCUGGUAACUCCAGAAGUACUCAAACCAGAUCUAAUAGCACCAGGAGUCAACAUUCUGGCGGGAUGGACCGGGGCAGUUGGUCCAACUGGGCUAACAAGCGACAAGAGGCAUGUGAGCUUCAAUAUCAUUUCAGGUACAUCAAUGUCAUGUCCUCAUGUCAGUGGAUUAGCUGCGCUCGUCAAGGCUGCUCACCAGGACUGGAGUCCAGCAGCCAUCAAGUCCGCUCUCAUGACCACAGCCUAUGCAACAUACAAAAAUGGAGAGAACAUAUUAGACGUGGCUACGGGACAACCAUCAACGCCGUUUGAUUUUGGCGCCGGACAUGUAAAUCCAGUAGCAGCCCUUGAUCCUGGCCUUGUCUAUGAUGCCUCUGUUGAUGACUACAUCAACUUCUUUUGUGCUCUAAACUAUAGUGCAUCUGACAUUAAACAAAUCACAAACAAAGACUUCACUUGCGACUCGAGCAAGAAAUACAGUCUGGGGGAUCUUAAUUACCCAUCGUUCUCUGUUCCACUAGAAACUGCUUCAGGCAAAGGGGGCGGAGCUGGUGUAACAAGUACAGUCAAAUACACCAGGACUCUGACAAAUGUGGGUGUUCCAGCAACAUACAAGCUUUCCAUGACUUCAAAAACUCCGUCAGUUAAGAUCCUAGUUGAGCCAGAGUCCCUGAGCUUUGCUAAAGAAUACGAGAAAAAGACUUAUACAGUGACUUUCACUGCUACAUCCAUGCCUUCCGGUACAAACAGCUUUGCUCACCUGGAGUGGUCAGAUGGGAAGCAUGUUGUAGGCAGUCCAAUAGCUUUCAGCUGGACAUGAUCCGAAAUCCUGAAGAAAUCCCAUAAAUGAUUGUCAUUCACGGGACAAGUGCCUGAAUUUGUAUGUAUUUUCAAUCUCUUCCCUGAUGUUCUAACAGCUGUUCCAGUACAGCAAGCUGUUGCGUUCAUAAUUGCUCUCUGAGGUGAUCAGAGGGCAUAUAAAAAAGAAGGGGGGGAAAUAAUUGUACAGAGGAUAAUGGAAAGAAUUGUGUGAAUUGAAAAUGACUCUCCAGUUGCUUUUAGUGCCUCUCAAUCUGAAUCCUUUAACAAUUUACACUGCAUGGCUGAGAUUGAGGGACUUGAGUAUGUUUGCAUAGCAAUACAUCAAAUCAAACUGAGCUUGACAGGCGAGGAGAACAAAAAUGCUCACACACUGAACUUCUUGUGACUGCUUAGGUGAAAUUAACAUAUGCCCAAAAACUAACUGGGAAAAGGAAUUUUACAAAGCCCAACCUAAGAUGAAUAAGAUGAGGGGGUGUGAAAUCAUCAAAUACAUCCCUCGAGCUAAUUUAACUGAGAUACGAGGUACAAUAUAGACACAAUGUAGUGUUAAGUUCUAAUACCAAGAAAAUUUGUGGAUAUUCCUGCCACUCAACCGUUCUGACACCCUACGAAAUGAAUUCCUCCAUGUCAUUCCUUUACAUCGAAAGCAGAUAUCAAUUCUUAUUAACCUUCAUCUAAAUUUCAAAACUCUCCAAAUUUAGCAAUUGCCUGGUUCAACUGAUUCACUAACAGGGCUACGGCAUCAUAGAAAAAGUACUAACUAACUAAUUACUUUUGUUGCUAAUGCAUUUUUCAUAAUCUUAUAACCUAAGGUUCAUUCUUGAUCAAACAAUGGUAGGUUGCAUUCCAAUGCUAAAAUAGACUCAAAUUAACAAAAUGCAGUGAGCAAUCCAUCAACCUCAAGACAUUAGAAGGAUACUCCUAAAUUGCAUCAAUGAAUAAAAUUGUUACAAAACUGAACUGUCAAGUAUAAUUUAUAGAUUUCUAAAAAAUGGAGAAAAGGUUACAUCAUGAAUCCUCGAUAGACUGAGAAACAGGGAGAUAGUAUGUAUCAAGCUGCCAAUACUUGUGUCUCACACCUUGCCAAACUUCUUCUCCCAAACAAUCCUUAACAGGCAAGGGAAUUAACUGUGUAGAGUAGCCCAAGUGCUCGAGUUCUAGCGAGACUAAAUUACAGUAAACAACAUGGAAGAACGCGUUACCUCCACAAAGUCCAUUGAAAAAAGAGUAGAUUCCUCCAGGCUUCAAUAGCGCAGGUAAGUGUUGGUGAAACUCCCUCAGAUCUUCAUAAUAUUCUCCAUAAGUGUCAAAGAAAAUACCUGCACAAAUUUAGCCCAUAUUUCAGAAAGUUAUACAAUACGCAAUUGCUCUGCUGUCAUUUCAAAGAACACACUUCAUUAUAUAACUAUAAUUUUCAGUCCCUGCAAGGACAAAAUAGUUUGGUGACAUUACAAAACUUCUUGAAACUUUUCCUUAUGUCUGCAACACCGCUAAGACUUUACAGAAUGACCAAAAUAAUAUCCACACUCAAACUACCGGUAGAUAAGAAUUAUUCAAGAUAGAUUUAUAAGGAAGGUGGAGCAAUAUGAGAAGUUGAAACUCAAGUUAGUAUACUUCAUGACCAAACAUGAAUCCAUUUGCACUGCAUGCUCCCAAUGAUACAUUGUAUGACUUUUUCAAUGCUGACAUUAAAUGAAGAUCUACAAUGAGGAGUGGGUUAUUUUCUUUAGGAAGUUGAUGGGGUUUAAAUUCAAAAGAAGCACCAUUUCUGAGUACCUGUCUCGUGCACACACCACAAAAGAAUACAGCAUAUUAUAUUCCUCGUAUGAACAUAAAUUCAGAUAUACAGUGCAUCUUCGCAAAGAGAAUCUGCUUAAGAGCUAAACAAUAAAUUACUACUCUAUUGUGAGUUAAACAAGCAGUGCAAAAGCAUGCAUUCUCAAUUUCUCAUCAAACAAUACGAUGAACUUAUGAACAAACUGUUAGCCAGCAAUGUAGGUUUCUCUAACAAACUCAAAUCACAGAAGCUAUACAUUGUUACUUUGAAAUGACAACAAUAACAAUGCAUAUCACGAUAUGCCACACCCUUUUGCAAAAAUAUAAAUACAAACACAAUCAUGUUUAAAACGGGCAUCGUGGAUUUACCAUCAUAAGUUCCAAGUUGAGAAAGAACAUCUUGCCACCGCCCAAAUACUAUCUUCACAUUAUCCUUCUCACCCCAACCAUUUCGAAUCAUCCGUUCAUAAACCUCCGGAUGCGCCUCAACAAUCGUAUGCAUAGCCGGAUUAUAUUGUUGAAUAGCUGUAUCCACAAGCCCCAUUCCAAAGCCAAUGUUCAGUAUAUGACCACCACCUGAGCAAACCGCCUUUGCGUGUGCUUCCAUCAAUGGCUUCUCCCAAGCCAUCAUUAUCGCCUUGCUAUCCGAGUCCAUUAUCUUGUCUUCACUAAAACUAACCCUAUCUUCUAAGUAAUUCUCACCAUAACCAGAAUUCGACUUCUCUUUCCUGGCAAUUGUUCCUAAUAUUAACUCAGACUGAAUCCCUGUUCAAUUAGAGGUUAUUUUAGUAAUUAUAACGAAACCGAAGCUGUUUUAAUUAAUUACGAUUGGAGUUGAUUAAAGAGGAAGCCAAGAUAAAUUUUUUUAUCGUACCAGCGUUGAGGAGAGUUUCGAAGGCGUCUUGGUGGCCAGCUUCCAUGGCGAAGUCUCCUGCGGAGAUAUUGGAAGGAGAGAGAGCGUUCCACGGUGCGCCAGCUUCGAGGAGGUCCUUGACGAUAGCGGCGUGGCCGUGCUUGGCGGCGUGCAUGAGAGGAGUGAGGCCAUUGCUGUCGAAGUAAGUAACGUCGAUUCCUGAGUUUAUGAGAGAUUUAACUUUGUCUACGUCACCGUUCUUCGCUGCUUCGCAGAGAAUUUCGAAUUCGUCCAUGGCUGCGCGCGAUAAUAGUGAAACCCUGCUCCAGAGUCCAGUGACUUUUUAAGAAAUGGAGGUGCCUUUCUUUUGGAAUUCCCGGUGAGUCUGACGGCUAAGAUGAGAGCUACGUGGCAUAAUCAGGUAUGUUUCUGGUUCCUCAAUUUGGUUUGGUGGGCUGGAGCUGAUGGUUUUCUUGUGUGGGCUUAGCCCGAUUUCGAACGUAAUUGGGGGCUCUUUUUUUUUCUUAGUUAAUCUACACUUCGGCCUUGGGCUUUUGCCUUUUGAUUAUGAAUACCGGUCUGAAAAAAAAGGGAAAAAAAAAUCAAUUUCAUCUUACCUCCUUAAAACUAUAUAGGUUUUAUCGAUUAUUUUUCAAAAAAAAUUAUUUUUCAUCGAUUAGACAUUUUAUUCAAACGUGAUUGACUUUUGAUAAUUUUUAAGUAAUUUAAAACACAUAAUAAUAUUACUUAAUAAAAAUAAUUGAUUUAGAUUAAUUUAAUAAUCUACAAGUUAAUCCAAUAAACUAACUGCUAAAUUAAAAAAAGGAUCAAUUUCAUCUUACUUCCAUGAAAUUGUAUAGGUUUUAUUGAUUUUUUUUAUUAGUGCUAGCAUUUCAUUUAGACAUGAUUAAACUAGUAUUAAUUCUAAAAAAAAUAAAAAAUAUUAUUUUAAUAAAAAUAAUUAAUUCGAAUUUAUCUGAUAACGUUGGAGUUAAUCCAAGAACCCACUUACUCAAAUUCUUUUAGAUCAAUUAAGACAAUUAUUGUAUUAUCUGAAUGAAUUUCCUUGAAAAAAUCAAAAGCAAUAGAACUUGUCUGUACAGCAACAAAUUAAUACGGAUAAGGAGAUUUGGCGAAACAGUCCGAUUGCAUGGUAAAGUUCUUACUCUUAAUUUGGCGCUAGUGUAAUGACGUUUGCCAUAUUUUAUAUCCCAAAUAAAUCCACCAACUUUGACCGCAGUUUGAUAAACUGCCCGCGUUGAAACGUCAUCGUUCAGAAAUAAGUAAUAACACUCUCCUUCGCGGCAGCCUAACCAUUCGAGUACAGAAAUAACCUCGGUCGUCGAUGCAGUUUAUUUGUUAAAAUCCUGUGGCUCCAAUCAAACACAAUUAAAAUCAUUAAAAAAAAGCACCCCCCCCCUUCUCUCGCAAAUAUUUAGAUUGCUUUGGAUCCGCAUCUGCAUUCAAAUGCUGUGAAGAAGCUUAAUACUCACAGAAUCUACAAGGGAGGGUUUUUUUUUCUUCUAUUAAUUUUUGUUUUUUUUAAUGGCUUCAAGUUUUGAUCGGUGGGAGAAGGAUCCGUUCUUCUCUGCGGCUGAGGAAGUUCAAGAAUCAGCAGACAGGUACCGUUUCUAAUUAAUAUUAGCUAAUUUAUAGUUUUUUCAUGAGAGAUUUGAAUUUUUAUUAUUUGUUUCCUGAUUAAAUUUAGUUUUUUAUUAGAGAUUUUCAUAUUUUCCUGAUUAAAUUUAGGUUUUUUUUACGAGAGAUUCUGACCUCACCUCUUAAGUUUCGCUUGUAGUACUAAAAAAUUUAGGUGAAACAACACAAUAUUUGAUUAAUUUAUUGUUUUCGUACUUUUAGGAAGCGAAGGCAAAUUUUUGUUUUUAUUCUAUCCUUUAAGGUUUGAUUAAAGCUAGUUGUUUUGAGGGAGUAUGCCUGUCUUAUUGACGUUUUUUUUAUAUUGAUAUAUUUUUUUGUUAAAUUUGUAUGCUAUAUGAAGGAUGGAAUCAACGUAUAGAACAUGGAUUCAUUCAAAGAAAGAGGAAUCUAGCAUGUGGGAUUCCGAGCAACUAUGUCGGGACCUACAUACUGCGCUAGGCACCACCAAAUGGCAGGUCAUCUCUCCCUCUACUCUUUAUUAAAUGUUCUGUUUUAAUCAGCUUAGUUGAGUUUAAUUUGAUCUGGGGUGGGAAAACUCAAUGCAGUUAGAGGAGUUUGCUCGGGCUGUCGGGUCGAGUUAUGUCAAAAGCUCUGUUGAUGAUGCGAGAGACAGGCAUCGUGAUUUUAUUGUCGCGAUCGAAGAUCAUAUUUUAAGAAUAGAAAAUUCGUUAAAGGAAUGUGCCCUUUCAGAGGGCAAGACUUCGUUGCCUUGGGUGCAUUUGGAUGAAGGGGAGUGCAAUGAACUUGCAUUGUUUUUGUCAGGGCCACCAACGACAUCUAGAGAGAAUAUAUCAAAAAAUCAUGUCAUGGAGAGUGGGAUGACACAAGAAGGAGGUGAAGAGUCUACCCCCCAUUCUUCAAAGAACUUGACUAAUUUGGUCAUGUGCUCCUCCUUGGAGCCCAGGGACGAGAAGUUGCAUGGGCAUAGGAGGACGGCUAGUGCCAGUGCUGAUAUUGGUGCGUGGAAAAUUGCUAUAGCUGAAGAUGUUUGCCUGUCUGAUCCUUGUAAUGAGAAGGCCCCCAUCCCACGACCCCCACGAAAGGUACCUAGUUUGUCUGGAAUCGUAUCUUCUAUGGAAUCUGUUUCUAAAUUCAACUGGCCAAAGAAUGGAGUUCGGAAAUGGAAGGCAAUGGAUCGUCAACAAGAAUCUGAUACAAUACCAUUGCAAUCUUCACAGUUAACUAGGGUUGGUGUAUUUCUAUUCUAUUUGACUUGUUGAUUGGGAUUUGCUUCUUGAUUUUCUUAUUAUGUUUCUGUUAUCGUUAAUUAAUAGAAAUGGGUAUUCUUAACUUUUUGUAUAGGGCAUAGAUGCAUGCUAUGAGAAAAGUAAGAGUUGCCUGGAUAGUUAUAAUGAAUGUUAUGACAAGCAAAUUUAUGGCUGGUAUGGAGCUAUGCAGCGCCAACUUCAACGGUCCCAGUAUCAAAUGCAAUAUAGUCGGCCUGUCCAAGCAGCCUUGUCAGUUGUUUUUCUCUUUUGCUUAAUUGGUGAGCUAUUUAGAUUCGUUCAAAUCUUGUUUUGUUGCAUGUAUGGGGUUAUAUAUGUUGCUACAAAUGUGCCACUCUUCAUUUUGUAUUUGUAUUUCCAACAAGCACUCUAGGCUUUACAGCAAUUGGGUUAUAUAUAUAAAUUGAUUGACUUAAAAUAAUUACUGGAUGCAUGUAGCUUGACAAGCAUUUUAAGAGUGUGAUUAGAUUGGAAAAAAUCUCAAGAUUGCAACAAGAUGAGAUGGUGUGGUAUAUAUGAUGUUUAUUACUUUAUGUUCUUUGUUGUUAAUUUUUGGUCGUUGCAUUAUGCUAUCAGGCAUUUAAUUCAUUUUAUUAGAUGAAUAGGUAAUGCAUAGUUCAGGUAGAAAUUAGAAGCUGCUGCAUCAAAUGAUGAUCAUAGGUUGUCUAUCAACUUAAGGACUUUCUAUUUGAAUCAUGUAAUUUUCUGAAUUGGGUGUGCACUUGGGAAUGCUUUUGCUAAAGUUUUUUUAAAAAAACUGAAAAGGAGAAACAAAUGAGCCAUCAUAGGUUUGCUUUUGGGAUUUUGCUUUAUUUUGAAGUCAGUCAUCAUUCAGAGUAGUUUGUUGCCUUUUUAGCACUGCUCUGUGUUGCUUCUUUAGCACUGGAUUGAGUUUGUUCAAUAGUAAUAACCACUUUCAAGUUUGGUAUAAACAGGUGUAAACAAGGUUGAACUGAUAUGCAAAUAAAGCUACGAAGCUUCCCUUGUUUUUCUUCCAAUAUUUACAAUGCAACUGACAUAAUUUUGAGUGGUAUGAUAAGUGAAUAAAAGCAUUCAAACCACCUGUAACUAGUAAUAUUGUUAUGAAUAACUGUUCAUUGUGAACCAAAAUAAAAAUCGUAAAAUUAUGGUAAACUAUCUUUUUUUUACAAUGAGGAAAACAAAACUUGUGAAGACAGCCAUGGACAUAUCUAGAAACCCAUAGCAAUAAAACUUACGAUGGUUCUUUUAUAAAGAUUUUUUGGAUGAUAAAGAAUUUUAGUAUGAGUUUAUUGGUUUAUAGAAGCUUAUGUUUAUUGGUUUAUCUGCAGUCUUAAUUGUGCUACGUGCAAUUUAAGGUGCUGUUCAUCCUACAAAUUACAGCCUGGGGCAAUAAAUGGCUCGGAGGGCAUCACAGUGGUGAUAUGCGGAAAGAUGUUUUCGAGAGAACAAGAGCUUUUCAUUAUUAUCAAGUGACUGGUUCAGUAUAGGUACGUGUUCUCCUGUUAUGCAGUAGCCAGUAUUAUUUCUGUAAAUAAACCCCUUGCUCACCCAUUUUUUCCCCUUCCUGACCACCAUUUCGCUCUUCCUCUUAAAACUUUUGAUUAUGUUGUAUAAUUGUAAGAGCCAAUAGAUGGCGGAGAAAGUUGGCCAGGAACAUUUCUCAAGUGCCAUCUGAUCCUGUAAUACAUCUUUUUUUUUCAAAGCCACUUUGGUGUAGUAUUUUUACAGUUUGGUAAAAAACAGUUCUCUUUUCUUUUUCAAAGCUACUGAGGAAUUUUUAUUUGAUAUGAGCAAAAAACCCAAAAAACUGAAAAAAAAAUAAUCGAAAAAACCGAACUGAGAAAAAAAUUUAAAUUAACCUGAUUAGAAAAGCCAAAAUAAUUUCUGGUUCAGUUCGGUUUGAAAUGUCUGAAACCAAUUGAACUGGAAUAAACUGAAUCGGUUCAACCAUAAUUUUGAAAAGAUAAAAAAGACUAUAAAUAAUCAUUAACCUAAACCAACGCCCACAGCCCCCUCGCCCUUUUAUAAUCAUUAACCUAAAUCAAUGCUUGUAGCUCCCGUUUUCUUUCUCUCAUUUCCUCUUAUCUCUUCAAGUUUAUCCUUGCAUCUUAUCUUCUCCAUCACAUUCUCUUCUUUUCCUGUUAAUAAAUUCAUGAGCUUCACUAUUUACUUCAACCAAGAGCAAUUGCUUCUUCAAAUGACGAUGCCUUUCCUUAAUUGCUUCUUCAAGAUGACUAAGGUUUGACAGAAGUAUAAAUUUGAGCUUUAUUUGGAUCCAACUCAUUCAUUAUGAGUAGAUUUGUUUUCCUUCCAAUCUCAAUUGAUCUCUAGUUUUUAUUUUCCUUGAUAUUUUAUGGGUUUAUGUUUUUUUUAUUAUGUUGUAAUUUGCAACUUUGGUUUUGUUUCUAUUUUAAAUAGAAUUCAAUCAUGUUUUGGUUAUGUAAACUGGAACAAGUUCUCGAACAACAGAAACGAGAUUUGUGUCUUGGUUUUGCUGAUUUUUAAACAACAGAAACUGAACCGAACCGAAACCAAUCGGUUUGAACUGGUUUCAGUUUUCAAUUUUAAAAAAUAAUAAUUUUGGUUUGGUUAAUUUUUUUAUGUGAAAAUUGAACCGAACUAAAAAUGAUGACCCCUAAAUAUAGCUGUUCAUGAAGUGGGGGAAUUGGAACUAUCAAACUACAAUUGGACAUCACCUAGAUUAUGUGCUUAAAGGGAGCCUCUCAAGAUGAGUGAAAAAAUGCGAGAAGGAAAGGAAAUGUUCCUGAUGCAUUUUAUUAACGGUAAGCCUUACAGAGGUAGUUGCUGAUCAAGUGACAGACAACUCUUAAAGAUACCGGUAACCAAAGUAGAAACCAGUAAACACUAAUGGCAGGACGAACUCAAGAAAAGCUUGAUACUUGGGCAUUUUAUCAUCAUCCUUGAUCACAAAGGCACUCAUUUCUUUGUGCUUGGAUUCCACGAAAGAAGCAUACUUGUCUGCCUCAUUGAAAGCGUGACCCUGAAGAACACCAACCUGGUACUUCAGGAGCAAGUUUUGGGCUUCCUUGCUGUGUCCAAUGUUACUGAAUUCCCUCGUCGCAUCCUUUCCUGCAACCUCUACAAGCACCUCUCCUCCUGCUGGAUGCUCAUCCAAGAACUUUGUCACGUCGAGUACCUGUUAAAACGAAACAACUUCAUUACCCGCAAAACAUAAACGGAAAAAUAUAGGAGUAUAUGUUUCCGAAGAGAGGAUUACUCUGCCGUUGAUGACAAACCAGCAAUCUUUUUUGGAUCUGUGUUGGGCCACCUGUGAGAGAGUGAAAGUUUUCUGCCCAGCCAUUUUGCACAUGGGAAUCCAAGAUAGUCGUGCAAGUAAUUUAUAAAAAUGGACGGGGUUAGGUUUUGAUCUUGGUUGGUCACGUGCGCACUAACACCAUGAGUCUGGUCAUUCACGUGUGAUCUAACAUUGUAGUAGUGGUAGCUGAUGCCAUGGUGGCAUCUUAUUUUUCUGGGCUUGUUCGGUACACCUGAAGCCCAAAAGUCCCCAAACCGAAGUGAUUUAAGCAAGAUUGUCGGGGUAAGUUUUUCCAAAGGAUGUGAGGUGCCCAGGUGGAGACCUGGUUGUCUUAUGUUUUGGCCUGAAACACGAGCAAUCCAUGAGAAUUCUUGUCAUGAAGAAAUGAACUGUCUCCUUAAUUACCAAUCCAGCAAAUUAUGUGAUAAUGUUUCCGAAAAAAUAGAGGGGAAACAGUGUGCAGAUUAUCUCGCUUAACUUGGUUCAAGGCAAAUUGUGUCCGUUUGUCUACGUGUUUGUUUGCCUUUCAAGCUUGAAAACAUCAUUUUUUAUGGUUUUCAGCUCCAAACAGUGUAGAAAACGGCCCGGAAGCUUAGAUCUGACACCAGGAAAUUUCUUUAGAAGGGCGUAAUGGUGCAAGAACAGACUAUGCUACAUUCUUUUAUUAGUAGUUCAAAACAGACUGACUGUUCUCAACACAUGAUACAACGUUGUUUCUCCCCAUUGUCCCCAUGGUACAAUCUACAUGGUUCUUAUUUUUGUACAAAAAUCACAUUACCAACAAAAGCCAGCAUGCCCAAGUUUCUCAAGGCACAACCUUGCUAGCCUUCAUCUUCUCUAUCCAAGAAAUGAACGACUUCUUGGAAUUCCUAAACCCCAGGAACCCAUGCUCUUUGCUCUUAUUCAUGCUAGGUAUAGAAACUUCCCCGCCAAAUAUCAAAUCGACAAACCACCACGCCCCCACUUCCUCCAGUUUGGUGGGCAGAAGCUGAUUCUCCCUUACUAUCUCCUCCCAAACUGCUCCUUUUUCUUUCAUCGUCUCUGCCAAGCUUAUCCUCUCCUCUGUCUCCACAAACCCAUACUCCUCUAGUCCAAACUGUUCUCCCAAAACCUUCCACAAAUGCUUCCAUUUAAACACAUCUCCAUUGUGGAUAUUAAAUGCUUCGUUUUUGGCACUAGGAUCCACACACGCCCAAAUUUCAUGCUCCGCGAUGAGAUCAGCAUCUGAGGCGAUUGCGUAACAAUUCCAAACCUCUUUCACCCCAGGAAACCGCAUUAAAGUUCCCUCAUGCUUGCAUAUAGCAGCGUAAACACAAAGAGUGCGAACAAUACUCAUCAAACUAUGAGGCGAGAACCCGAAGAUGUUGUCAGGUCGGUGAACAGACCAAGUCAAUCCUUCUUUCUUUGCCACUUCCUGGAACAGAAUAUCCUCCAGAGUGUAGUAAAAGUUGGGGAAUUCCAAUCUAGGCAGAUCCUCAGUGAAGGGCGGAUCAUGGGCUUCAAUCUUGCCGAAGAACUGGAAGGGCCCAACGUAGUGUUUGGUGCCGGUUUGGAGGCAGAUGUGGCGGAGAUUGUGAGCAUUAAGGAUAACAGCCUCGAGAACAUUGCGGAACAUUAGGCCGUUUAUCUUGCAGUUCUCAGACUCCGUCUCUCGAUUGGCCCAGGUAACAUAAAAGAUGUGAGUAACAUCCGUCAGCAGUGAGAGCUUUGACUGUGUUUGGUUCCUGUCAGAAAUGUCACACUGGAUGUACUCCACUGGGUUGUCUUCAUUCCAGUUAGGCCGCUUACCUCGAGCAACACCAUAGACUUUCCAUGGACCGCCAGGGGUGUCCGCAAGUGGGAGAAUCUCAGCCAAACUGUUGCCAACUAUUCCUGUUACACCCACCACCAGCGCCACACUCUUGUAGUCCCGUGAUGCCUCGUCAUCGUCAUAAAAUUUUUUCUGCAAAAAUUAACACCCCAACACCAUUCAGAUGCUACAUACGUUAACAGAAUCAUACAUAUUUUCAAGUAAAAUAAAUUUAACAGGGGCAAAAGAUAUCGGAGUUGUGUUUCAAUUACCCGGUUAUUGCCAAGGGCACCAGCCCACCAGCAGCUCAUUUUGUUAUCGGAUAAUCGAUAAAGAGACGGAAAAUUCUAGUUAGUGAAAUAUCAAGGAGGCUAGCUGUUGUGAUUUAUAAGAGAGUUCUGAAGAAAAAAGAGCGGGCAGAUGACAUGAGCACUGACGUGUAUCUAGUUGCGUUUAUGAAUUGUGGAAUAGUCUGGACAUGAGAAUAGUUUGGCUGCUGAAAUGAAUACAGUGUCUUGCGUGAUUGUGUAGCUGACGGCUGUGAGGCGAUGGCAAAGAGGCACCGUUGUGAAAUUAAUCGGUUUCAGUAAUGAAACACAAAGUCACUUAUAAUUAUCUCUCUGUAAGCAGGAAAAAAAAGAAAUAGUUCUCAGGAGAAAGGUAUGAAACCCAUAGUUGUAUGACCUUGUUCGGGGUUUGACCCGUAAAAUGAAUCGAGUCAAUAAUUAUCCAGAUUAGUUAUUUGAUUUAGUUGAGUUUGGUUAAGUCAAUUUAAUCGCAAAUCAAUUUACUAGAUUUUUCUAAUUUAAUUAAAUUAAUAUUAAAAUUUAUUUAAAUAAAAAUUUGAGUUAGGUUGACACCAUUUUACUAUGUACCAUUUGAUGGGGGAUCGAAACUUGGAAGCGUUAAAGUGAUGGAAUUUAUCUCUUGUCCACCGCUCUACAUGUAUUUAUGUUCGUCAUUUUAUAUUUUUUGGGUUGGAUAUCAAUACAUGCACAGCUAAAUGUUAACAGGUCAAGGGGGAUUUUGAUCUAGCCCCAUCUCGAGAUUUAGGUUUCGAUCUUCAAGCAAAAUAAAACAAGAAAACACCCAUUAAAAAUUAGCAAUAAUAUCUUUUACUUGUUGGGCCUUUGAUCACUUCGGCGAAGAGCUCGAGAACACAGUCGUCGGCCGACCUCCAAGGAUUUUCUAGUUUAUUUUUUUUUAUUAUUAUUACUGAUAAUUAAGAUAUUUUUUUCUUGGUUGCAUGGCAAAAUUGUACAGAAUCACCUCAAUUAUUGGUUAAUACUAAAUUAAUAUUUGAAAUUAUUGAUCGAAACGCCAUUAAUCUUUCUGUUAAGUCUACUAUCUUUUCGUCCAUUAAUUACCAUAUUUUGUGGUGGUUCUUGCUAAAUUUGCAAACAGAGAAACAGAUUGACCGUGGUUCUUGCUGGAAUCGCAGAGAAAAAGAGAGAGAGAGAAGGGUAAAAUAUCAAUUUUGACGGGUUUUUGUUUGUUGGAAAGGAUUUUUUUAAUCUCCCAACGUUGCUAACACGUGACAUUUUUCUGUUAACAAUUUCACUGAAUCCUGUUUUGAUUUAAGGAUAGAUUAAAUUAAAUAAAAUAGUUUUUCCAGGAAAUAUUAACAUAAGAGCUUCAAUUUAAAAAUCAAUGGUACUUUUACUAAUAAUUAAGAAAUGCUCACGUGUUUAAAGUGGAUCUCGAAUUGUGAUUCAAAAGAACACAUAAAGGGAAAAGAAAAGCAGGUGGGCAUUGAUAUCGGUUCAUAAAAGGAAAAGCGGGGCACCUUGGCAUUAGGAGAUUUCGUGGAUGUUUUCGAAACAUCCAACCCAACAGCAGCAAAUUGUUUUUAUAUAUAUUAGAUGUCUGGUCCACUCAUGUCUCAAUCAAAUAUUUAUAUAACUUAAUCCUAAAAGCUAACUUAGACGUGUUUGAUUCUUGAAAAUCGAUUCUUGAAAAAUUAUUUUUUAAAAUUUUUAUAUGUUAAAAUUAAUUAAUAAAAAAUAUUUUUCGAUCAAUAAAAAAUAUUUUUCAGUUAUAAAAAAUUUUAUUUGGUUUUUAGAAUUUUUUUUUAUUUUAAAUAAAAAAUAUUUUUUAUAUAUAAUUUUAAUUAGCUAGUGUGAUGCCUUGGGAGCAAAAAUUCAAGAUUUUUAGUAGUUCUACGGAGAUAUGCUAUAUAUCGAGGUCAGAUUCUGUGAAUAUUCUAGUGGGAUAGUGAUAGCUUAAAAAAAACUCUGUUGACGUUAAACCAGUAAAAUAACUAAAGGAAGAUAAAAUAUUCGAUUUGACUAUUGAAUUCAGGUCAAAUUUUUAUAGGAAAUUUUUUAAGUUCACAGAGGAUCACUUUUCUUUUUUUAGUUUAACGUGAUGUUUGGAUCAGCUUGCGUAUAUCUCGAUUAAUUUUAUGGGUCCUAAAAUUAACGACUAUGUAAACCUCCAGUGGCCAUCAUAUAAGCAAACACAGGGCUUGAAUCUGAGAUCACAGAGGGAGCAAACCUAUUGGUCCCAAGAUCUUACCACUAGCCACCACCUAGAUGGUUGAGGAUCACUUUUCUAGUCCAUCUGUUACAUGAAUUUUUUUAAAUCAGGUUACAAAGAUUUUGUUUAAUUUAAUUCUGUUAGUUUUUUAUUAUUGUUAUGAAAUCUAGGAUUUAUUUUAGGAUUUAAUUUUUUUAUCUUGUUAAUGUCGAUUUCAAAUAUAUAAAAAAUUAUAAAUAUCAUAUAAAGAUAGAAUUUAUCAUAUUAAUAUUUUUAAAAAAUUCUUUGUGUUUAAAUUAACCAUGUUUCAGCCAAUUUUCUGUUUUUUAUGUUUGUAUCAUAUUGACAAAAAUGGGUGAAAAAAAAUCCCUUUUCUAUAUAGUUUAAAGUAUAGAAAAUUACUAAAAAAUUAUCAUAAAAAAAUUUUAUUUUUAUUUAACCAUUCGAAAAUAUUUUGUCUUAAUUGUUUCCAUUUCAUCAAGGGAUUUUGAAGUUUUAUAAUUGUAAAGAAAGAUUGACUGAUAGUUUGGAAAAAUUAUAUAGUUAUUAAGAAUUUAUGUUCUUACAAACAAACAUGUAAAAGAGAUUAAUAGAAUUUUUAAAUUUCUUGAAAUGGGAUAAUGGAUAAAAUCGGUUAUUAAUUUCUCGAUUUUUUCUUUAUAUUAAAAUUAAAAGGCUGAGGUUCCUAAUAGUUUAUAUAAAAUAACAUCUUGACAACUUAAAAUCAUUUUUUUUAAUGAUCAGAUAUAUUCACACUAAUUUAUAUAUUAAUAAGAAAAAAUAAAUUAUUUUUAAAAUAAUUUUUAAAAUGUAUUGUUCAUAUUAAACUAAUAUACUAAAAUAAAUAAACUUUUCUACCCUGGAAAACAAGAAAAAUAGCAAUCCUUCUUAACCAACGCAUCUAAACCACUACACACAAAUGAUCAUGAGCAGCAAAGAAACAUGCAUCAAUCUUGCCAAGAUGAAACACACAUUGUCGAUAUAAUCUUAAAUGCUGAUACAAAUUAAAAUCGGGUGAAAUUUGAUGUGAGCAAUCCAACCUCUCCAUCAUCCUCUUAUUUUUCGACUCUAGCUUACAGCAAGUUACCAACAUGAAGCAGCUAAUACAAGCAAAAUGGAAAACAAACUACUUCAAUUAGGGAUUAUCUUCUGGGAUCUCAUCUUACCAAUCCAGUGCACAAAUGAUUUGGUGGAAUUCCUAAACCCCAAGAAUCCAUGUUCCUUGCUCUUAUUCAUGCAAGAUAUAAAGGCAUCACCACUAAGCAUGGUGUCCACAAACCACCAGCCCCCAACCUCCUCUAACUUCGUAGGAGACAACUGGUUCUUCUUCACGAUCUCCUCCCACACUGGCCCUUUAUCUUUCAUCCUCUCAGCCAAGGUCUCUCUUUCCCCCCCCUCUUCGAACCCGUACUUUUCUAUCCCGAACUGCUCGGCCAGAACUUUCCAUAAAUGCUUCCACUUGAAGUAAUCUGCGUUGUGGAUAUUGAACGCUUGGUUUUGAGCAUUAGGCUCCACACAUGCCCAGAUCUCCUGCUCUGCCACCAGAUCGGCAUCUGAUGCGAUCGCGUAACAGUUCCACGCCUCUUUAGUACCUGGAAACAUCAACGGAGCUCCCUCGUGCUUGCAUAUAGCAGCAUAAACAGAAAGAGUUACAAUUAUAUUCAUCAAGCUAUAGGGCGAGAAGCCAAAUAUGAUAUCAGGACGGUGAACAGACCAAGUCACUCCCUCUUUCUUUGCCACUUCCUCGAACAUAACAUCUUCCAAAGUGUAGUAAAAAUUGUCUACCUUUAAUCUCGGCAGAUCCUCCGAGUAAGGAGGAUCAUGAGAUUCAAAAUUAUAAAAUGACUCGAAAGGGCCAAUGUAGUUCUUGGUUCCGGUUUGGAGGCAGACGUGGCGGAGAUUAGUGGCGAUGGGGACAACAGCCUGAAGAAGGUUUCGGAACAUGAGGCCGUUGAUCUUGCAGUUCUCUGCUUCGUUGGAUCGGCUGGCCCAGGUGACAUAAAAAAUGUGAGUAACAUCAGUGAGAUGAGAAAGCUUUGAUUUUGCUAGCGCCGAGUCUGAGAUGUCACACUGGAUGUACUCAACUGGGCAGUUCUCAUGCCAGUUUGGACGAGGACGACGGGCCACUCCAUAAACUUUCCAUGGACCGCCUGGUGUGUCGGAGCGUGGGAGGAUUUCUGCCAAGCUGUUGCCGACAAUUCCCGUUACUCCUACUAUCAAGGCCACGCUUCCUUGGCCCCCUUGAACUGCCGGUUUCUUCUGCAAAAUGAGCCAUGACAGGAGAAACAAAUGAGAUCACAAAAAUUAUAAUACUUAAUCAAGUAUGUGUGUGUGUAUAUAUAUCUAAUUAAAUAUGAUCUUUUUUACCCAGGCAGCGCUAAGAUCACCAGCCCACCACCAGCUCAUUUCGUUAUAGAAGAUUGUAGCAGAGGAAGAUAGGAAAGAUGGGUGGUGGGAGUGUAAAAGCAACACUACUGCUGAUAACUUGUCGCAUUAAUGUGGGGCGGUGAUAGGCCCAUUCGCGAUGAGUCUCGAACUUACCAAAUGCCCUUACGAAAUAAAGUCUGAAUCAUGGAGUCAGGACAUCAAUUAUUUUUUAAAUUAGUUAAAUUUGUACCGAUUUCAGUGACGUGAAUUAAGUUUUAAUAUUUUAUUUAUUUUAAUUACAUAUUCAAUUAGAACAAUCUUCAUGUCAUUAAUCGACAACCUCGUGGUAGAAAUAGAAAUAGAAUUCUCGAGACAAACUAAAUGCUGAGAUGAAUUUGACAAGUAGUUAGGUUUAAUAUCGCUGAACUCAUCUCAAUGAUAAGCUUAAAUAUACAUAGAUGAAGUGAUUUGUCAUUUUCAAUAUUUUCAAAUUAAGCCAAGUAUAAAGCUCUAGUUAAUAUAUAUUUUGUGAGCUACCAGACCUAAUAUUAUUGAACUCAGCUAGAAACUGGGCCAACACAUAAAUAAAUUUGAUGAGCUGUUAUACCUAUUACUCUCAAAUUUAGCUAAGCAUUGAGCCUAAAUACAUGCAUUUAUAAAAAUCUUGUCAUGCUUCAUUUUGAAUCAGAGAUAUUUUUUCUUGGACAAUUUAUCUCAAAAUUACAUAUUUAUUUUCAGAGUCUUUCUCUAAAAUAUCAUUAUUUUUUCUUUAAAAAAUUUACUCACUUACUCAUCAGAAAGUCUUCAAAUCCAUAAAAAAAAGAUCUUUACAGGUAUUAGGCACCAACUACUAGCUACCUUGGUUAAGAAGAAUAUAUUAGAUUGCCAAAAAUAAAAGAUUAGUCUAUUAUCGAAUAUAUAAACCUUGUUCUCAAACAACUUUAAUUUUUUGAGACAUCAUCAACUAUAAAAAUAAAAAUUUUAAGAAUGUAAUAAAUCAGAACUCUUGAAAUCAAAAAAGAAGAAAUUCUUUUUUACCAACUUUUAGCAAAUCCAAAACUACCAUAUUUUAUUAAAAUUAAUCACAAAUAUAUUGUCUUGACACUUAGAACAUUAACCGCAACUCUAAACAAGAUUUAAACAAUAAAAACAAUAUUUUUAUGUAUUAAAAAAAAUAAAACUAGAAAACAUCAUAACAUUAAAACAAGUUCAAAAACAUCAAAAGAGGUUUAAAAUUAGUUAUAUAAACUCCUCCCUUUAGUUUUUACAUGGUUAUAUCUUCUCCAAACUUACUGAUUAUAGGUUGUUGUUUUUUCUUCUCUUUUCCUUUCUUAUUUCCCUUUCACUCUCUUUCUUUUCAAAACUUGUUAGACCUUCUAUGUUAAGAUCUUGAACCUUUUUAAUAGGAUAUAUUAAUAGAGUAUUUCCCCACAUUUUCCUCUCUCUUUGUUUCUCUUUUUUUCCUUCUGAUUUCCGGAGAGUAUUUAUAGGGUUUUUUCUAGGUUUUUGAGUAGAUUCCCUCAAAUAUUGAUCAAAUCUUAGCCCUUUAAUCAAAGUGAGGGUUCUAGACAAAAGCUAAUAGCUAGAAGCUUUUGUACUAUGCUGAUUUUGCAUCAGUGGUUUUGAUUUUAGGAAUACUUGAUGGUUUUGUUAGAUUUGACGGUUAAGGAGCUAUUUCUGAAUCAAACCGUGCUCCAUUUGAAAGUCUGUAGCUUCACAUUUAUUUAUUCAAAAGUGUCAACUUAAUCAGUCCAGAAUUUAAAAAUACAAGGAAAGAUGAUUGGGGAUAAGAUGUUGGAAACUUUUGUGGAAGAAUUGGGGUGUAAACAUCCAAUUUUAUAGGCAUGUGGGUUAUAGAGAGGGUGUUUCUCAAUUAAAUGAUGGUGGUUACAACCUUUGAGGUAGUUGGAAAUGCCACAUUCAUUCACCUAAAGAUGUCUACUCAACCAGUCAAGACUGCUAAAAAAAAAAGAUGAAUAGAGGAUGAAUGACAUGUCAUCUAGGUUAAACUCUAGAAAUUUGGGUUCUUUAUUUGGGUUUUGGCAAAGUUUAAUUUAAUCAAUGCUCUUCCAAUUCCUUUUAAUUACAACCAGAAUUAUCUUCUAAAUUUUAAUUGCAUACAAUUAUAUCCCUACUAAAUUUAAAUAUCAGCCUCAAAGUUCAACGUCUUUUACAAACAAGUCUUGGUUUUUAAUUUGUUCAAUUUCAUCUAUAAUUAACCAUUAAAAUUUUAAUUUCUUUCAAUUUGACCUCUAAUUUCAUCAAUUUCUACCCAUGAAAUUGAAUGCCACCUACAAGUCGAUCCUUGCUCUUGGGAAUCUUCAAUUAAGUUCUUAAUUGACCUCCAAACUCUAAUAUUAUCACAAUUAAACCUCUUAUUUGACUAAUUAAACUUUUCAAAGUUCAAUUUCAGUUUUUAAACUUUAAUUUCUUCUAAUUAACACUGAAAUUGACUCAAAAACUGUUUUUCCUUGUAAUUAAGUCUUCAAUAAAAUUAAUUAAGCCUUAUAAAUUUCUUAUUAAGUCCUUAACCCUUCAAAUUUAUAUUUCUCUACUCUAAAUAAAAAUAUUUCCAUCCAAAUUGAUCCGAGUUUUGUGGUUUCACCACCGCAAUGACGUGAGAAAGCAUUGGAUGGUUUGAUGUAGAGGUAAUCAAAGAAGAUUUGCUAUUAGGAUUCAAUGAUUUGGUAAAAAUUAAUCCAUCUUAUUUGAAGAUAAUUAAGGGUUAUACAUGCCCAUGUAGCGAGUAGUUGGAGCAAAAGAGUCAUUUGCAAACUGGUAAGAAAAAUGAAGCCCAACAAGAAAUAAUUAAUACAUAGUGUGGAAGAUUCAUUGAAUUCACAGGUCUUUGUCAAAGAAAAGCAGACAGUAGAGCCAAUGUCAUGUUAAGAGGCAUCAAGAAAUGUCCAGUGACAAGAACAAGAGAAGAAUUCUCACAUCGAAGCAAAGUGAGACAAGGAAGUUCGAGGAGAAACCACCAGACGAGUUGAUAAAAAAAUACAAGUCUCUUCAACUGAUUGAAAAAUUCAUACAACAACACAAGAUGAAUCUAUUAAUUGGUAAGCAGAUGCUAGCUGGAAGCGUUGGAAGAGAAAUGCGAGGGAUGCUUUCCCACACGAGAGCAUGACGCAGCAGAUUAAAAUGGUGAAGAGCUUGCCCAAAGAACAACGUGAAAGCAUUCCUUUUGCUGUUUUCAAAUUUUCUUCCUGUAAAACCAACCUGACAAGGGAGUAUUCAAGUUUUGUCCUUCAUCGAAUAGUCAAACAUGUAGGUACAAUUUUAGAAAUAUAUUUCGAAUUAUCUCAAAAUACCUUGAAAAUAAAGCAUGUUAAGUCUCAACCUCCUCUUUUUUCAAUGUUUGCUGCUCGAAUAAAUGUUAGUUUUUCUUCCGAACAAACUAUAAUACGUUGAAAAUAUAUGCGAAUUAAGUUAAAUCAAAUAAUUUAUUCAAAAAGUACUCGUAUUAAAUUUUUAAUUUAAAGAUUAAUGAUAUUGUGACUAAUAAUCGAGAAGGAUUUUAUACUAUUUAGCCCAACGCAAACGCAAGAGUAGACAUAUAACUUGGAGUUAUUAGGUAAUUUUCAUUUUCAAACACGAAAGGCUCCCUGCUCGAGUACUGUUUUAAAAGACACCCCAUCUUGUGAUUCAAAAGCAAACAAAAGAAUCCAUUAAGGGAAAAAGAAAAGCAGCUCCCCUUGGAAUUACAUGACUCCUUGGAUAUACUUCGAACAUCCAACGAUACCACUUCCAGACACGGAGAUGUUUGGUGGAUGUCGGACUCAUCGUGACUUAACCAGAUGAUACAUGUAGUGUGUAAUUGUCGUCUCGAGAUAAAAACAAAAGGUCAAGAUCGAGGCAAUAUUUUUUUUUGUUUUUUCUAUUUUUUUUAAAUAAAAAUUCACUAUAAAUCUUUUUCAUAUACAAAUUUAUUUUAGAUUUCUUUCCUUUUACUUUCAAUCAAAUAAGUGUUAUCCUUUUUCUUUGAAAAGUCGCUUAUGUCUUGGAUACUACUUGAACACAAUUUCAAAGUGAUUUUUUAGUAUUCUUUGAGAAAAUAGAUAAAAAUAGAAAAGACAAAUACAUGUUUGGUUUGCUUUGUUUCAAUUUUUUUUUUAAGUGCUAAGGUAGUAACCAAAUGUUAUUCUUGGAUUAAGGGAUUUCAUGAGGUUUUAUAAUUGCAAAGAAAGCUUGUUUGAUGGUUUGGAAAAAAUUAUAUAAUUACAUUUUUUACAAAGACACAUGCAAAAGAUAUUAAUAGUAAUUCUUAUUUUAAUGAAAGAGAUUAAUGGAUAAAAUUGGUUCUUGGUUCUGUGUUUUGGUUUUUUUUUACCUCACUUAUAAAGGUAGUGUUUAAGAGUGCUAUAAUUUUUUUUUAAUUAUAUUUUAAAAAUACAUUUCACAUUAAAAAACAUCAAAUUAAUUUAUAUUUGAUAUUUUUUAGUCCAAAGUAUUCUGCAUCAUAGUAACAACCAGUUAUUCCUGGCCGGACACCGAAUAUGAAAAAUGAUUCUUUUUUAAAUAUGGUAUGGUUUUUUUUUUUUGGUUAGAAAAAACUCAAUUUCCACGAUUUUGCACAAUUCAUUUUAGAUUUGACAACAAACAAAGAAGGAAAAUAUAUAAAAGAAUAAUAUAAAUCAUAUCUUAAACCUUACCUAACAGCUUAAAUUUUUUGGUUGAAAUUAUUUUUUGACAUGAUAUCAAAACCUUGAUGACCAAGCGGUCUAGAGUUUAAAUCUCAUUAUCCUAAUUUAUUUAAUAAAAAUUAAGUAAAUGGUAAUGUGAACCUGUGUAAGUUUCAAGCUUAAAAGGAUUUCACUUAAUGAUGUGUGUUAAAGAAUAAUAUAACUCAUUUCUAAAAACCUCACUUAACAAUUUAAACUUUUGAAUUGAGAUGGUUCUUUGACAGAACAUGCAUUUUGUUUAUCAUUUUGAAUAUAAAAAACAACCUGACAACUUGAAAUUAUUUUUUGAAUAAUUAGAAACAUUUUAAAACAACUUUAUACAUUAAUAAAAAUGAAAAGAAAAGAAAUAAUUUUAAGAAUGUACAACUCUGGAAAUAAAAAAGAGGAGCCAACCUUUUUUACCACUAUACCUGAACCAUUGAAAACAUAUAUUAUAUUAAAUAUCAAUCCAAAAAUUUCUCACCACCUACCAUUCUUGAAUUAUAUAGAAGACUCCCAUUAAAUAUCUAGUCAUUCUUAUCAACUCAAGGUAGGAAAUAUCUUAUCUCCAGAAUUACUAGUAGGCUAGCAAAAUAAAAAUAAAACUACAGUACUCUGGAAUUGUCUUAGAUUAUAGGGGUGUGCAGGGGAGAAGUGUCCAGGUGCAAGAAGUGCAGGGGAGAAGUGUCCAGGUGCAAGAAGUGCAGGUGUAAGAGUGCACGCGCGCGCGCGCGAGUGGCGAGAAAAAAAGAGUUUGGUGGUGUGAGGAAUAUUAAUAAAAGAAGCGUGAAUUGUGAAUCAGUGCGAAACAUCAUUAAUCAUGAUCAUUAUUGUCCUAAAAAUUCAACAAGUAUUAUCAGAGUUAUUGCCUAUAAUUCAUGCCCAAUAAUUAAUACCAGGGCUUAUCGAUCAACGAAAUAUCAAAACUGGUGGUCAGAGACUACGAUAAAGUAGCUAGCACAAGUGUUUACUCGAUUGUGAAGUUUAGAGGUCAGGGACCUAUCAGAGCUUGCGGUUUGGGAUCAUCUUUUUAUUUUGCCGAUUGGAGAUCAUAACUAUUGAGGAAUCAUUAGAAGAGGCUCUGCUUUUUUGGGAUCGUUUUUUUUAUUCUUAUACAUUAAUGUAAAUUAAAUAAUCUUAAGACGGGACCAAAUCGAGGAGCAAUCCUUUUUUACCACUAUAUCUAAACCAUUAAUCAGAAUCAUGAGUAACAAAAAACACAUUUAUUAAUCUUGCCAAAAUACAUAUUAUUAAUAUUGCCAACCAUUAAAAUUGGGUGAAUUUUUAUGCGAACAAUCCACCUCUCCCUCGUAGCUCUUAUUUUUCAACACUACCAGGCAGCAAGUUAUCGACAUGCAGCGGCUAAUUAUACAAGCAAAAUGGAAAACAAACUUCUUCAAUUAGGGAUGACCUUCUGGGAUCUCAUCUUACCAAUCCAGUGCACAAAUGAUUUGGUGGAAUUCCUAAACCCCAAGAAUCCAUGUUCCUUGCUCUUAUUCAUGCACGAUAUAAAGGCAUCACCACUAAGCAUGGUGUCCACAUACCACCAGCCCCCAACCUCCUCUAACUUCGUAGGAAACAACUGGUUCUUCUUCACGAUCUCCUCCCACACUGGCCCUUUAUCUUUCAUCCUCUCGGCCAAGGUCGCUCUUUUCCCCCCCUCUUCGAACCCGUACUUUUCUAUCCCGAACUGCUCGGCCAGGACUUUCCAUAAAUGCUUCCACUUGAAGUAAUCUGCGUUGUGGAUAUUGAACGCUUGGUUUUGAGCAUUAGGCUCCACACAUGCCCAGAUCUCCUGCUCUGCCACCAGAUCGGCAUCUGAUGCGAUCGCGUAACAGUUCCACGCCUCUUUAGUACCUGGAAACAUCAACGGAGCUCCCUCGUGCUUGCAUAUAGCAGCAUAAACAGAAAGAGUUACAAUUAUAUUCAUCAAGCUAUGGGGCGAGAAGCCAAAUAUGAUAUCAGGACGGUGAACAGACCAAGUCACUCCCUCUUUCUUUGCCACUUCCUCGAACAUAACAUCUUCCAAAGUGUAGUAAAAAUUGUCUACCUUUAAUCUCGGCAGAUCCUCCGAGUAAGGAGGAUCAUGGGAUUCGAAAUUGUAAAAUGACUCGAAAGGGCCAAUGUAAUGCUUGGUUCCGGUUUGGAGACUCACGUGGCGGAGAUUAGUGGCGAUGGGGACAACAGCCUGAAGAAGGUUUCGGAACAUGAGGCCGUUGAUCUUGCAGUUCUCUGCUUCGUUGGAUCGGCUGGCCCAGGUGACAUAAAAAAUGUGAGUAACAUCAGUGAGAUGAGAAAGCUUUGAUUUUGCUAGCGCCGAGUCUGAGAUGUCACACUGGAUGUACUCAACUGGGCAGUUCUCAUGCCAGUUUGGACGAGGACGACGGGCCACUCCAUAAACUUUCCAUGGACCGCCUGGUGUGUCGGAUCGUGGGAGGAUUUCUGCCAAGCUGUUGCCGACAAUUCCCGUUACUCCUACUAUCAAGGCCACGCUUCCUUGGCCCCCUUGAACUGCCGGUUUCUUCUGCAAAAUGAGCCAUGGCAGGAGAAACAAAUGAGGUCACAAAAUUAUAAUAAUUAACCAGGUAUAUCUAAUUAAAUAUGAUCUUUUUUACCCAGGCAGCGCUAAGAUCACCAGCCCACCACCAGCUCAUUUUGUUUUGGAAGAUUGCAGCAGAGGAAGAUAGGAAAUGGAGAAGACAGUAAAGACAGCUACUGGGAGUGUAAGAGCAAGUGAAAGUAGUAACCAACAACCUGUGGCUUGGAUCUUCCAAGUUCUCGCAUUAAUAAGAACUGCUUUGCUUUUGGUGGUGUCGACGUGUCGUGUUUCUUUAAAAAACAAAUUUUAAAUUGAAUUUGUUUUUAAAAUUAAUAUUUUUUUUUAUGUUUUAAAAUUAUUUUAAUAUAUUAAAAUUAAAAUUAAUUUUUAAAAAAUAUAAUCACUUUAAAAAAACAAAUAUUAUUACAUUUUCAUACACCCACUCUCCAAUAAUGACUCUUCUAAAGUCAUCUCAAAUAAUUGCUCUUCUAAAGUCGUUGUGCUGAAAUGCCGACGUGGCAUGAAAUCAAAAGUUAGAUAAAGUAAGGAUGAGAUCAGUUACCUGAUUCUCCUUUAUAAUACGUUUUUUCUCUCUAAAGAAUAGCAAUUUUUUCCAAUUUAUUUAUUGUUAUUUCUUAUAUAAAUAGUUAAUUUCUUUAUGGAGACAAGUUAUGUAAUACUUAUCUUUUUUAUAAUUUUUUUAUUACAUAAAUUCUUAAUAACAUAUUUUUAUCGGUUUCAUCUUGCGUUUUCUCGUUGUUUAUAACAGUACUCACGCACCAUAACCAUUAUUUUCUUUUACUUGUCACAUGUGGUAUUGCAACCUAUAAUUUUCAGGAAUUUUUUUUUUUAAUUUGCGUUAUUUUAAAGGACAACUAGGGAAAUUUUCAUGCUGUUAGGGAAGUAAUUAGUACCGUACAAAUAGUUAUUUUUUUGGAAUUUAAAAUAUAAAAUUCAUAACUCCUAAAAAAUAAUAAAAAUAUUUCUAUUCAAUAUUUUUCUUUUAAUUGUAUCUCUGUUUCUUUUAAUUUUAUUUCAAUAAAUAACUAAUAAAAUGUUACUAAAUAAUUCACAGUCACUAUAAACCAAUUAGUAACUGAGUUUGAUAAUAUCUGCCGCUUCUUUAGUUCUUACUGUGAGAUUGACAAUAUUUAUAUAAUAUUUAUUAUUGAUAGAAUAAAAUGAUUUAAAUAAAGAAAAAGAAAACUGAUUCCAAUCUUUCUGUCACGUGUUUUGUGCAGUCGUCCUGGAAAAUGAUGGUACCCUUCCCCACCAUUUCCAUUUCCACUAACCUUGAGAAAUGCCGUGCUACAUUAUUACUUGAUUUUUUUCAUAAAAUAUUUUUUAUAUUAAUUUUAUUUUUUAAAUUUUCAACUAGGUAUUUUUAUACGUAAUCUUGUUUAAAUUUUGUUUCUCUUUCUUAAAAAAAACAUUGUUCUGUGAGGUAUUUAAUGUUUCAUGCAAGUAAUUUUAAUAUAAGUUCUUAAUUAAGAAAUCAAAAUAGUAUGAGAGUAAAAUUAAUAUUAAAAAUAUUUUAAAUAUAUAGCUAAAAUUACCUCAACAAUUUAAACAUAUAAAUUUAAAAUUUUCUUUUAUGAUUAUAGAAACCUCAACAAUUAUAAUUUAAUAAAUACUUUGUUACCUUAAAAAUCAAAUAAUACCACUCUUAUACUAAUAAUAAAAGUGGUGACCCAGUGAUAAAAGUUUGGGACCAAGAGGUUUGCUCCCUCUGUGGUCUCAGGUUCGAGCCUUGUGGUUGCUCAUAUGAUGGUCACUGGAGGCUUACAUGGUCGUUAACUUCAGGACCCGUGGGAUUAGUCGAGGUACAUGCAAGCUGGUCCGGAUAUCCACGUUAGACUUAAAAUAAAAAAAAAACUUGAGUUACUAAAAAAAGAAUUUUGAAAAGAGCACACAAACAUGCUUUUGUCCGCUUGACCGCAUUUAAUCCAUGCAAUCCUGAAAACCAAUCGUUUCGCCACGUCAAGCCUUAUCUUAAUUCUCUCAAAUUUGAUCACUCUUUGCGUGUUAAGUACAAGACAAAGAUGAAUGGGGAGCCUACUUUUCAGAAUGUGGAACAAUACGGUAUCUGUCAUGUACCAUCCAUGAUGGCUUUAGUUGACCGGUCUUCGUUGCAUUGGAAAUUUCCGGAAAUUUGAUGUUACUACGUGGAUUGAUAUUGAUGAGUUGCCUAGUGUUGCUAAGUUGGAAGGUUAAUUGUAUCAUUAUAUUUGGGUUUUUUAUUUAUUAAUAUGGGUGUAUGGGUCAUUUUGGACGUAUCUUGACUAAUCUCACGGGCCCUGAAGUUAACGACCUUGUAAGUUUCUAGUAGCCCUAAAGUUUGUGGGACUCCAACUUGUGACCUUUAAGAAGGAAAUUCAAGAUCUGACUAAUUGAGCUACAUCUCUCAGGGUUAUUGUUUACUUGCUUUUGAUGGUUGAGUUUGUUGUUGUAUUUAGCUAUUAAAAAAUCAAACUUGUAGAACUAAAAUCCAAAGUUUUAAAAGUUUAGGAGUGUUAUAAGCUUUUAAGUUUUUUUAAGAGUCUAUUUGUCUUUAAAAAAUAUUAAAUUAAUUUUUUAAAAAAAAUAAAUAAUUUUGACGUGUUGGUGUCAGAAAAAAAACAUGAAAAAAAUAUUUUAAUAUAUUUUUAAAUAAUAAUCACUUUUGAAAAAUAACAUAUAACACACAUACAUACAUCGUAAUACCAACCUCAAACUAAAAAUUUUAUAGUUGGCAACACCAAAGAUGUAAUGUUGCUAUGCCUCUUAUAUUGCUACUUACACAUUAUAAUUUACAACUUGUUAAUUCAACGCAUGUUUCGCUUUGUGAUGAGUUAUAAUUUUUUUUGUCAAAAACAAUAUCGGGUAUGCAUGUAAUUUUAAUGUCUUUUUAUAUGAAAAAAUCAAAGUGUAAAUCAAAAAACCCAUGCAAACAAGAUCUAGGUAAAAACUCAAAGGAUGUUGGGUCUAGUAGUCUUGUCAGACUCAUGUAUAUUUGGACUGAGCGCUUAGCUAAGUCCGUGUAUGUUUGGACUCAACACUUGACUAAGUUUAAGUAUGUUGGGUCUGCCAGCUCCGUCAUACUCAUAAAUGCUUGGGCUCAAUGCUUGGCUGAGCGUUUAAGAUUUGUUUGGGCCAUCACCUGGCCCCUAGUUCUUCUCAAUGAGGAUUUAGGUUAAAAAUAACAUAUUGAAAAAUAUUAACCCAUCAAUUACCCCGAGUCUGUGUGUGUUUAAUAUGCAAAGAUUUUAAAGGUCAAGAUCUGUUUGUCCCACAUAUAAUUUAUCAUUUUCAAGGUAAAUUGUGCAAUCGCACUAGAAAAAUUAAGUCUAUUCCAUCCUUGGAAGGUUGUGAGGCUGUUAGGGUCAUCCAGAGAAGAAAUGAAAAUUGUUAUUUUGAAUAAUUCAUGCAUGUAUAAAAAAAACGUACAUUUUUUAUUUUCAUUAGCUUAUUGGCCAUGGUAAUUUUCAUUUGACUAGAGUGCUAGAUGUGAAAAUGACUUUUUAUUUUCCUUUUUAUAGUUGCUAAAAUUAUUUCACAUAUUGUAUGAUUUGAAUUACCAUCCCACUUUUACUUGUUAGAGGCUUUUCAAAACCUCGAGGCCCCAACUGUAUUUUGUAAAGUUGGCAAACACAUAAUCCAGAUUUGCUUGUCUUACCAAGUCUAUAGGUAAGUAGAAAAAAUCAUGCUCUAACUUAGGACAAUCAAAUUACUAUGUAGCAUUCUCUGCUCCAUAUUAAAAAGUGUUAAAGCUUUGAUGGAGCAGAUAUGACAGUGAUUAUAAGGAGGUCUAUAACGCGUCCCUUUCUAGAAGUGUCGUGAUUAUCUACAUUGGAUAAUGAUUGGGAGUGUCAAUAACAAGUUCUAAAAGAACAUUUGAUGGCUUUUUAAACAUUUUUUCACAUACUGUGCCAAUGAUGAUGUUGGAAAAAUUCAAGUAACUUGAGAGCAAGGCUUUUUGCGUUGGAUAAAUGAAUAAUCUUUUGAUUCUAGGAGUUGGAUUCUUCUAGGAGUUGGAUUCACUCUCCCUAGUAGAAGCGGACGAUAUCAAAUACCAAGAGUUUUGAUAACUAAAGUGGCUAAUGAUUGAUACUUGUAAAAAAGUCCCCUUUCCUUGGAUUUGGAGACUUUCUAAUGCUUAAGUAAUUAUAUUUUUAGAGAGAAAAAUGAUGAGGCGCAAGAUAUUUUUCGAAGAAGAUCUUGUAGAGAGAGAGACUCCCAAAAUAAGUAUCCAGAAAAUAUUAAAAACUUGGAGAUAUUACCCCUUUUUGCGUAUACCUCACCUUUUAUAUGGUUCGUCAUUCCUAUUCUUUUAUGGAGAGAAGGGCUUAAAUGUCAUAUUUUUUUAAUAGCAUCAAAUAUAUAUAACUUUAUUAGAAGGAAAAUAUCUCUGACUUUAUUGGAGGGAAAAUCAAUGAUUGGCAGAGCUAAAAGAUGUUGGGUCUAACAUUUUUUGUGAGAUCCACAUAAUCCUGGGUUUAGUGCUUAGUGCUUGGUUGAGCACAAAGAUGCUCAGUCUAGUAGCUUUGGUAAACUCAUAUAUGUUUGGGCUCACCGUUUGGCUGAGUCCAAGAAUACUGGGUCUGUUAGUCUUACCAUACCCAUAUAUGUUUAGGCUCAGGAUUUUGGGUUUGGUAGCCUAGCUAGCCUCAUGUAUAUUUGAGCUCAACGCUUAACUAAGUCUAAAAAUAUCGAGUGUAACAACUUUGUCGGACUCAUAUAUGCUUAGACUCAGCACUUGGCUGAGCUCAAGGUUUGUUUAGGUCAUAUUGUUAUGUGUGUUUUAUGUACUUAUUGUAUUAAAAAAAUUAAAUGUUUUAAUAACAUAUAUAUAUAUAUAUAUAUAUAUAUAUAUAUAUAUAUAUAUAUAUAUAUAUAUAUAUAUAUCAAGUUAGGUUCAAAUGAAUUUUGGAUCGAGUUUCACAAAAUUUAUACAAUAUCUACUAUUUAUUGGAUAAAAUGAUCAUAAAAAAUAAUAUUCACUGGUUUAGAUUGGACCGGGUCAGGUCGGUGCAUGAGUUUGGAUUAAAUUGGCAUCCUAACAACAUCAUGUUUAAGCCACGUUAUUGCUGCAAUAUAGCUCGAUUUUUUUAUAUAAAACACUUUUUAUAUUAAUUUUAUUUUAAAAUUUUCAACUACGUAUUUUUAUUUGUAUUUUUGUUUAAAAUUUAUUUCUCUUAUAAAAAAACAGCAUUGUUUUAUAAGGUAUUUAAUGUUUUAUGUCAAGUAAUUUUAAUAUAAAUUAUUAGUUAAAAAAUCAAAAUAAUAUGAAAUUAAAAUUGAUAUAAAAAAUAUUUUAAAUAUAUAACUAAAACAAAUCAAUAAUAUAAAUAUAUAUUUAAAAAUUCCUCUGAUAAUUAUAGUAUUUUCAAGUUUGAGUUAUUAAUUUACUGAUUAAGUGUACUUUAAUAAUUUGUUUUAUUAGUCAAUAAUUUAAUUAAUUACAUCAUAAUUGUGUUAAAUAUUAAUUGUAUGUCAUAAUUGUAAUUUAAUAAAUACUUUGUUACCUUAAAAAAUAAAAUAAAUACCACUACCAAUACUAAUAAUAAAAGUGAAUUCAAACCAUCUAGGUGAUGGCACAGUGGUAAGAGCUUGAGACCAAAAGGUUUGCUCCCUCUGUGGUCUCAGGUUUAAGCUCUGUGAUUGCUCAUAUGAUGAUCACUGGAGGCUUAUAUAGUCGUUAACUUCAAGUCCUAUAUGAUUAGUUGAGGUACGCACAAGCUGGCCCGGACACCUACAUUAAACUGAAAAAAAAAAAAAGUGAAUUCGAGAAAAGAGUUUCGAAAAAAGAAUUUUGAAAAAAACACAAACACAUGCUUUUGUCCGCGUGAUCGCAUUUAAUCAUGCAAUCCUGAAAACCAAUCGUUUCGCCACGUCAACACCUUAUCUUCACGUUAUCUUUAUUCUCUCAAAUUUGAUCAUUCUAUGCGUGCUAACUAUAAUUUAAUUUAUGUAAUUUAAUAAAACUUAUUAAUUGAUCAUUAUCUUAUUCAUUUUUUUUUUAAUUUAAUGUUCGUUUUCAAUUUCUUUCCUUUUCGAAGAAAUAUAAAAAAGGAAACGAGAAGUAGAUAAAAGGAAAAAUAUGGGCAAGGAGAGGAGGUAUUUUUUUAACAAAAAAUAUUUAAUCAACCCAUGAUUAAUGCUGAUAAAAAACUGAGUUGUUAAACUUUAUAUUACAUGGAUUAAUUAAUUAUUUAUGAUAAGUUAUAAAGAUUAAGUCAUUACAAACUCCUCUUUCCCCUUGAAUUUUCUAUCACUAUAUGGUAUAAUGACUUAAUUGGUGACAAAAUGCAUUCAAAUCACAAGCUAAUUUUUUAUGCCGACGGCGUCGAGUAAUUUAACACACAUCUAGAAUUAAACUACAGACUAAUUUUACACAAAUCAUGAAUUAAGCUGCUGAAUUUUUAUUUUUUUUUUAUAAUCGUGAGUAUCAGAGUUAGCUUACGCAUACUUUGACUAAUCUCUCGAGAUCCUAAAAUUAACGACCAUAUAAAUCUCCAGUGGCUGAGAUUUAUAACACUUGAAUUAAUGAUUUUUAAAAAACAAAUUAAGAAUAUGACCAAUUAAGUUAUAUCUUCAGGAUAAUUAAACUGCUCAAAUUCUUGUUUUUAUUUGUUAGUGUUUUUACAUAUUUCUAAAAAUUAUAUUUAUUUUUAAAAAACAUAAAAAUUAUAUUUUAAUAUUUAAAGUAAAAUAUAUUUUUAAAAAAUAGUUUACAGAUGGAUCCAAGUGAAAUGAAUGAUUGGAAACAGGUUGAAAAUACUAAAAUAUCUUGGGAUAAUUUUUUAAUGAUUAAUAGAAUCUGAAAAAAAUCAAAUUACCCUUUGUUCCUUAUAACAAAGGCUUUUAUUUUUUUCCACCCAGAAAUAAAAUGAUAAUUUCACUCCACAGUAAAUCUUUUCUAGCACUACAACGAAAAAUCCAAGCCCUUGGCAGCAAGCAAGAUAAAAUCAACUAAAUUAUUAGGGUUUUACAGGGAGAUAGAAUUAGACCAGCUCCAAAUGCAAUUUGACUCGAUUACAAACAUAGUUGCCAAUGCGGUCUGGCAAUUUAACCAUGACUCAAAACUUGAUCCCGGGUUGAAUUUUAAUAAUCCAAUCAACUCGAAUAAACCCGAUAGAAUCAUUUACAAGACAGAAAAAAAUAAAAUAAAAUAACAGACACAUGUUUAUUCAAUGCCGGCGAGUUGAUUCGACAACCUAAUACAGCAGGGUUUUUUUAUCAAUUCCGAAUCAGGACGACAAUGUGAUUACAAUCCUUGAUACAGAACAAAAUGCCUCCAAUCUCCAAGUUUAUUCUCAAAAACAGAUAUAACACCACCCGUAUCAAGGCACAACCUUGUAAUCUUUCAUCUUGUCUAACCACGAAACAAAAGAUUUCUUGGAAUUUCGAAAUCCCAAAAAUCCAUGUUCCUUGGUCUUGUUCAAAUUCGUGACGAUACCCGGACCACCGAAUAUCAAAUCUGCAAACCACCAUCCUCCAACUUGCUCCAGCUUGUUUGGCAGUAGCUGAUUCUUCUUCACAAUUUCCUCCCACACUGGUUCCUUAUCUUUCAUCGCCUCGGUGAAUGUUAUACUACUCUCCCCCUCUUCAAAUCCAUGUUCUUCGAUCCCAUAUUCUUCUGCUAAAAUCCUCCACAAAUGCUUCCAUUUGAACAGAUCUCCGUUGUGGAUAUUAAAAGCUUCAUUUUGUGCAUUAGGAUCCACACACGCCCAAAUUUCAUGCUCUGCAAUCAGAUCUGCAUCAGAAGCAAUUGCGUAACCAUUCCAAGCCUCUUUUGUUCCACGAAAGAUUAAAGGAGCUCCCUCGUGCUUGCAUAUUGCAGCGUAAACAGAAAUAGUGACAAUCAAAUUCAUCAAGCUAUAAGGCGAAAACCCAAAGAUAACAUCAGGCCGGUGAACGGACCAAGUCACUCCUUCUUUCUUUGCCACUUCCUCGAACAUAACAUCUUCUAAAGUGUAAUAAAAGUUGGGAGCAUUUAAUCUGGGCAGAUCUUCCGUGAAAGGUGGAUCAUGAGCUUCAAUCUUGCCAUACAGCUCAAAAGGACCCACAUAUUGUUUCCCUCCUGUUUGGAGGCAGACAUGGCGGAGAUUGGGAGCGUUUGGUAUAACGGCCUGGAGGACGUUACGGAACAUGAGACCAUUAAUCUCGCAGUUCUCCUCCUCUGUGGGUUUACUGGCCCAGGUAACAUAGAAGAUGUGGGUCACAUCAGCCAGCUUAGAAAGCUUCGAUUGGGUUUCGGCGGUAUCGGAGAUGUCGCACUGGAUGUACUCCACCGGAUGAUCCUCGUUCCAGUUGGGGCGUGAACGUCGGGCCACGCCGUAAACUUUCCAUGGGCCACCAGGUGUGUCGGAGAGUGGGAGAAUCUCCGCCAAACUGUUGCCGACAAUCCCCGUAACUCCUAAAAUCAGGGCCACGCUUUGGUAACCUCGUGGUGCUUCAUCUUCUUCGGAUCUUUU
rnacentral:lncRNA from 1 species